rnacentral:lncRNA from 1 species
UCUCUCUCUCUCUCUCUCCUCUCUCUCUCUCUCAAUCUUUUUAGCAUUGACUUUGGCCAAACAUAGCUUUCUAAUAAUACUUUGAUAUAUCAAGCUAAAUCUUGAUAAGGCUUUGGUAGUUAAUUUAGCUGCAUGAAACAUAGGUUUCUAGCAUGCAUGUUUACAUGACAAAAAGUUCAUUAAUUGAUUGUUUCUUGAAGAAUUAGGUGGUGUUUGAGACAGCUCCGAUUAUAUGUUUUUUUAUGGCUAAUUGAGAGUAUAAACAACUGACUCAACUACUUCAAAAUAAAAAUGUUUUAGAAAUGUUAGAUGAAAAAUUCAUAUAUAAAUAAUUUUAAUAUAAAAUACAAUGUUUAACUUGGAAAGCGUACCUAUAAAAAUUAAAAAUUCAUAAUUAGAUUCGAACGUGGCCUUAGAAUAUCGCAAGAAAAGUCAUAUCCUGAUUAGAGUUUUUUUCUAGCGUGCAUCAUCUAUAUAUCUAAUCAUUGCUUUAUUAUAAGACUAAACUUAUGCUGCAAGUGCUAAUAAUUACAGAGCGAAUGGACCGUCAAUGUACCUGAAAAUGUUCUUGUUUUAUGAUCAUUUGCUAUCAGCUAUAUAAAUAUAUAUAGAAAAACGCAUGGCAACUUGCCAUGCAUGAUCGACGACGACUACUUGCGAGCAACUUGCCAUUACCAUGAAACUGAUUGUUAGCCUACUGAUCCUACUUGUUAAUUAAUUAAUUAAUUAAUUAAUUGCUCUGGCAGUGACCCUACGACAUAUAUAUAUGUCGGCCCGUGCUUGUCAGUUGAGCCUGACCAAAAUUACAGUCACCACUAGUUAAUUUUCGAUCAAUUUCCAGCGGCAAAAAGCAUUAGCAAAAGCCGUGCAAACUGGAGCAAAAACUGAACAGAAUAACGGACUUGACCGUCAGAUUUGAUCUAAUUUGCUCCAUUUUCUGCCCACCUUUCUCGAUCUUCAUCGUCUUGCCCUUUUUUCUCCCACUAAACACAUACAUAUCGUACGCGUAUAGCAGGUGUUAAACUUUUUGGAAAGAAAGAGAAGCACUCCUGAGCCAAACUAAACUAACUUUUUCAAAAGAUUUUCCUGAGAGGAAAAUGAAAAUUAACUUUUUGAAACCUUCCUGGUCGAUUUCCUGACCCAAAUCCAAAACUGAGUUUGUUGUUUGUGCACAGGUCGAAUCAAUUAAUCGUCAAUCAGGUUUCCAGUCAACGUGGAAAAAUGGAAAUUCGUUGGAAAUCUGGGGUGCCUGGGCUUGGAUGGCAUGGCAUUCAAUUCGAUCGAUCGUUCGUCAAGUCAAAAUCACGCACGAAUUGCAGCUGGCAGCCACCCGUUCUCCAUGCUAAUGCAAUGCAGUGCCUGAGAUGAAAAGGAGUUCUGGUAGUUUACUGUCAUGCUACUGUUUAUUCCACUAUCUUUUACGUGAUCUGCAUGACAAGGCAUGCAAAAGCUAGUGCCACUGAGGCAGGUUUCCUUGAAGGAUGCAUUUUGUGCUCUCACCAAUAAAAAGCAUUCGCUUUGUUUCUAAAUACCACUCCCUGUUUUAUGUUAUCAGGCUUUUUUAAUACGGCUAAAUUCAUCUAGAUUUAUUAACAUCCAUAUAAAUAUAAAUAUAGAAAAAUUAUAAAGUUUUAUAUUAGGAGAAGGAUGUAGCAGUAGUACUUGUUAUCUGAUACUUUAUCCUAUUCAUAAUAUAUGUUGUUUUAUGUAAUGCUGGUGUUAAACUUUUACAAAUUUAAUUAUAAAUAAAUUAAAAUUUUACUUUAUAAACUUUAUAAACUGUAUCUUUAUAUAAAACAAUAAGUAUUUUGAAACUGAUAUUAAUUGCCGUUUAUAUAUUAGCACGGCAUACACUUAUAUAAACCCUUAUAAAUAUACUACUGUAUUUGUUGGAAUACAUUACAUGCAACCAUAUAAUUUUCGUUAAUCAAAAUUCUAAAACUGUAACAUUAUCGGUUAGUAUUAUCGAGUACUUAAAGAAAUAAUGGAGAGAGUGGAGUGUUUUUUCCGUGGAGGGUGAUUUUUUUGGAUUUUUUAUAUAUAGAAAAAAACCAAAUAUCAAUUUGCAAAAAAAUAAUUUGUGAAUAAAACUUUAUAUACAUAUUCUUAGUGAUCUAAAAACCAAGGCUAGAGAAUAAACUUCGGUGAAAAACUCCUAAAAUCAACUCUGUUAAAAAUUUAAAUUUUAGCUCAUAAGCAUAAACAGAAAUGAAAAGUUGAGAGUAUACUGUUUGUCAAAGAAGCAGGACCAGAAUUUAAGCAAGCGAAAGUAGUACCUUUAUGCUCCGAAGAGGAAGAUGCAGGAUGGGUUCGUCUGUUAGGGCGGUCUUUUUGGAAUUUAAGCAAAUGCAUGCCUGGUGGCUUCUGGACGAUCUUGCCCGCCGUCUUGAGCGAGUUCGAUCGACCCAAUGGCUCUUAUUUUCUACUUCCUGUCAAAAUUUGGGCUUCUUGGAUGAUUUAGGAACCAAUUAAUGCCGUUCUUCUGGGAUUUGCUCCAGGAAUGAAUUUUAGGAAAUGUGCAUAAAAGUUGGACGGCUCUGUAUCAACUUAUAUUAAUGUGCCUGAUUUCUCAAGGCACUAACUAAAGGUCCCUUGAAAUUCUACCCGAGUCUAUUUUUUUCACCCCGGCCCUGUUUGAGAGGAUUUAUUGUCCCUAGCAAACCAACGCUAACAAUAGGUAGCAUCAUAAAUCACAAGGACCUGCAAGAAGCAGACACACGUCUUCUUUAAUUACCAUGCGGAUCAUGAGGCCUCGUUUAGUUUCUAAAAAUAUCACAUCGAAUCUUUAGAUACUUAAAUAAAGCAUUAAAUAUAUAUGAACAUUAAAACUAAUUAUACAGUUAUAGGAAAAAUCGUGAGACGAAUCUUUUAAGCCUAAUUAAAACAUGAUUAGCCAUAAGUGCUACAGUAACCAGUAUGUGCUAAUGACGGAUUAAUUAGACUCAAAAGAUUCGUCUCGCGAUUUCUAGGCGGAAUCUGAAAUUUAUUCUAUAAUUAGACUACGUUUAAUACUUCAAAUAUGUGUUUAAAAGUUUGAUGUGAUGUUUUUUUAAAAUAAUUUUUGCAAAUUAAACCAGCCCUAAAGGUGGUUGUACGGUUUGGUCCACGUGAGCUGUGUUUUUAGAUGAAAGAUAAAUUAUUAUUUGAUUUUUUAAUAUAUAUUUAAUAAUAUAAAUGAUAGAAUUCACUAGUAAGUUAAAAAUCUACUUUAGUAAGGUGAGAUGAUGGAUAUCUAUAUAUAAGCAUUUUAAAAACAUAUUAUUUUAGCAGUUCGGGUAGCGUGCACCUUAAAAAAAAAUGAUACGGUGAUAAGCUGUUAAAAGAGUGCAGCCUAAGUAGGAUGCUAUUGAAAUUUUUGAGAAAAAUAUUUCAUCAGGAAAAAAAAGUAGAAAACUACCCACCACCUAGACAUCAUGUGUAUACAUGGCUUCUUCUUACCCUCCAAAACAUACAGGUUUUCUCGAUUCACGUUGUUUUCCUUUUCAAUUGAUUAUGAAACCAUUGUCUCAAAAAUUGUCUCAUGCAUCAAUCAGAACUAGCUUGCGGUGGAUGUGGCGCUGGCAAUGAUGAACUUACAACAAAGACUACAUGGGUGGGUUCAAGCUUGCAUUGGGGAUAUCGCUAUGAUGGGUGCGUCGCCUUUUUCCCCAACCACCCCAUUCAUCUUAUUUGAAAUUUUUUUCGAUUAAAAUGUUUAUUAUUACUAGAUGAUAAAAUAUAAAUAGUAUUUUAUACAGGACUAAUAUUUUUAAGUUUUUAUAUUUUUUAAAUAAAACGAAUGGUCAAACGACGAAAAAUAAGAUUAUUAUGGAACGGAGGUAGUAUUACUUACAUUACUAGGCGACGCGACAAUAAUUUUCAGCUGCUGUUUAAUUUGUCUGCUAGCCGAAAGGGGGCGCACGCACUUGACUAGAACACAACCAGCUAGCCGUGUCGUGUGCGACAUCUCUCGUGUCAAAGAGGAAAUUAAGGGUUGGACUCAACAAGCUAGGCCUCACUGACACGUAGGACGCGUAAUACUGUCUUCAGGCGUGCAUCCACAUGCGCCGUUGGACACGGAAGGAAAAUGCGCGCGUGCCGACCUGCUUCCGUUGAACAAACUGAUUCGCCAUCUGCGCCGCGUGUCAUGUUAAAUUAUUCUACUUAAUUAGUUAAUAGCUAUAGUUAUAAUUAAAUUGUGGUAUAGCAUACAAUUGGGAGGAUGAGAUCGAGAGGUGUACUGUAUGUGCAUGAACUAGUAAGAAGAUUCCUGCUCUAUUUAUUUUAGCUGCCAGCUUGCACUUGUUAAUUUGAUUAUAAUUUGGCAGUUAAUUAGCACCUGCUUUUGAUCCAUAUGGAUGGACGAAUUUGUACUUGCGAUUAUGAGAUCUGAACAGCCGAUUUGGGCAUGCAUCUGGAUCAGCUUAAUUAAUCCAAAUAAAUCUGUGCCCACACACACAUAUAUAUAUAUUCGUUUGGCUUGAAGGCAUGUAGCAUGUACAUGUGGUCAAUGAGCGGUUUGAUUGGGCCUCUGGCAAGUGAAUAAGGAUGGGUUCGUUUGAGAGGGGUUAUCUGGAAAAAGUAGAAUGAUUAAUUAAUUAUUAAUUAUUAAAAAAAUAUAAAAUAGAUUAAUAUGAUUUUUUUAAAAUAACUUUUCUAUAGAAAAUUUUUACAAAAAAUACUCUGUUAGCGGUUCAGAAAGUACGCGUGAAAACGAGUGGAUAAGUUAAGUUAGAGGGGGCAACGAAAAUGGCCUAAGUGAUGUACCAGUUCAGAUGCGGUGGUCCCUAGUGGCUAAUCUUUUUAGCAUAAUUAGUCAUAAAUGCUACAGUACUCACAUGUGCUAGUGACGGAUUAAUUAGGAUCAAAAGAUUCAUCUCGCAGUUUCUAGGCCAUUUCGAUAUCCGAUUAAAUUAUGACAUGACACAAAAUGAUUUCAUUUUGAAAACUAAACAGCCCUAAUGUCUCUUUUUUUCCCAAAACAGAACAAACUAUAAAUGCACGCGCUUAUAUACACAUGUGCACGUUUGUAACUAUGAUUCUACACAUACCUUAAAUUUAUGAGUAUCUUCCAAUAUUGAAUUGGUAUAUCUUAACAUCUACGAAGUCAUCGUAGGAGAAUCCUUGUUGCAGACUUGCAGUCAUAAAUGUGAGCAUUCAUAUAAGUCUAAAACUUAAAUUAAAGCCGCCUAAUCAGUUGAGAAAUUUGCAUGGAACGUACCUAGUUUAGCCAAACCUUAUAAUCCCAAUAGGAAUGGGACUUUCCAAAUUUAUUUUAGGUUUUGGACAAACCAUUAAUUCUUGGGUUUGUAGCGGCUCGCGGGCUCACCUUUAGUAAACUAUCAUGACUUGUAUAAACCCAAAAUAUUAGGUUUGUCGUGGGUUCACCUUUAGUAAACUACUCCCUCCGCUCCUACACGUUUGACGCCAUUGAUUUUUUAUUAGCGUUUAACUUCAUCUUAUUUAUUUUUUUAAAAUAUGUAAAGCUAUAUAUAUAUAUAUAUGCAUAAAAAUAUAUUUAACAAUAAACAAAAUAAUAUAAAAAUAAUUAAUAAUUAUGUAAAUUUUUUUGAAUAAAACAACUAGUCAAACGUGUUUAAAGAUCAAUGACGUCGAAUAUUUAGGAACGGAUGGAGUAUUUUUAAUGACUUGUAUAAACCAAAAAUGAGGAUAGUGUCGUCCUAAUUGGAGGCCUCAGUCUGGACUGAGGAAUGAGUGGAGGCUGUACCGAUACUAUGAUACUAUCCGAAUAUUAUCAUAUAAAAGAAAAUUCAUUGCUAAUUUGGCAAUGAUUGUAUUGCAUAAUUAUUUCUCUAGUUUUCAAUACUUAUAGAUGAAAACUUUCAGCAACAAAUAUUAAUUCUACUGGGUGUUAUCCAGUUAUGUACUACUAGCGACACUAAAAACUUUUGUCACGUAUAACUUCGGUUUGGCACCCUAUCGAAACUCGUACUUCGAAUUUGAACCUUGAAAGUUAAUCGCCAUUUCGAAAAUUACCGUACGUAGUAGCCGUAAAUGUUCAUACGGCAUACGUACGUAAUACAUGUGUACAUCUGGUUGGUUCAACAAUUUUUUUUCUUCAAAAAAGAAAGGGUACACGUACAUACACACGCAACACUAGACUUUGACUUGCUAGCAAGCUAGCUUCAUUCUAACGCUGCUCAGCGUUAGCUUAAUUACCUAUUUUAUCUUUACCUUUAGUGCUAUACUUAACGUGUGAUAAUUAAUCCCUCUAGAUAUAAGCCAGGUGUCUAUCUUUAACGUGUUACGCAUUCUACAUUCAUGCAUGCCAAUAUUUGUAUAUUCAUUCAUAUGUGUCUAAAAUAUAUACUUAUUUAUGACGUGCCAUCACGACCAAGUCCUGCAUGCCACGUACACGUGUGUUUUAGUCAAACUAAGAGAUGGCACAGAAAGCUAUUAGCAAAUUUUCGGAUGACGUGCACGUGCGAAGAAUUAAGCUAGAAAAUUAAGCAUGAUGAUUAUCUGGGAACAAUUGAUUUCGAAAAAAAAUACUAGAAUUUCAGUGAUGAUAAAAAUAUAAACUAAUGGGCCGGGAGCCCAUUCAAGAGGCAGUAGAAAGUUUCAGAUGCAAGCCCGUUCCUACUGUUUACUGCCUCUAGUUUAUACUGUAAGUUUUUCAGUCUGAUCUGUGAAUGUAUAUGUGAAUGUAAUAUGUGUAGAUGCAUUAAUAUUUAUAUAAAUUUAGGUAAGAUUAAAAGAUUCUUAUAGUAUGAAACGGAUAAAGUACCUAGCGCGCAAUCAUAGGUUUAAUCUGUCAAUGAUUUACCUAGUUAUUCUUUCCUCUCUGACUUAAUCUUGGUACUAUUAACAUUUUGUGUCCAAUCAAUUUAGGGAUAAGAUGUUUUUUUUUUGCAAUGUUUGUGCGUGCAAACGGAAGGAGAAAAAUACAUGUACUCCCUCCGUUUUACCAUAUAAGAUUUUUUAGUCUUGCCUAGAUUUAUAUAGAUGCUAAUGAAUCUAUAUAUAUAUAUAUAUAAAUUAUAUACAUUCAUUAAUUGAUGAAUUUAAACAUGGUUAAAAGAUCUUACAUUAUGAAACGUUACAUUAUGAAACGGAGAUAGUAUUAUUUACUAGCGUAAUUCUCACGUGCAGGUCAUCCAAAAAUUUACAUAAUCUUUUGGACAUAAGACUACCUCUCCGUAAUGUAUAUGAACCUUAAUGUAUACAACCAAGUUUGUAGCAUAUAAUUUAUUACUUAAGGUCUAUAUUUUAUAGAUGCCAUUAUGUUGGCUACAUACAAUCUUACGUGUCACGAGAGAACUGACUCAUCGAUGAAACUACUGUGUGUUUGUGUUCGAUACCCUUUCUUCUCAACCCAUAUUCUCUACGCAUGCUACCUAAACUACUAAAUGAUGUUUUUUUACCAGAAUUCUAGAUAUUGUAUUAUUCUAUUUUUCAUUUCUUUACCACUAAUAAUUAGUUAAUCACAUGUUAAUCCAUGUUAGCCGGUACGUAUAAUCUCACGUCAGUGACACGCGAUACAUCGUUCUCGCUGCCUGUGAUUCCUGCGAUGCGAGGAACGAGGCUACACGUAGGCCUUCCUUGAGCUGCGUUUUGCACGUGUGUGCGUGUGUUGUGUUGGGUGGGGUCGGGUCACCUUUCCCUUCCCUCCAUCUUCCAUCAGCACCGCCGGCUGAGCUCACCGUCGGCCCCCCUCCUCUCCGCUGUCCUCCUCCCCUCCCCCCCCAAAAAAAAUCCUUUGCAUUUGAUGAGUAUUCCUCCCCCCGUUCCUCGCCGCCGCGAUUUGGAUGCGAGGGAGCUCGCCGCAGAGGCCGAGCCUUCUCUCCGGUCCCCGCCGCGGAAAGGCGCCGCCUUUCGCCUCCCGCCGCCGGGGAUAGGGCGCCGAUGGGCUAGUGGGCCCGCCCUCUCCCUGCGAUCGCCGGCGGCGGCUGCGGGAUCCGCUGCCCGUGCCCUGUCGCUGCUGUAGGCAUCUUCCGGCCCCUUCCCGCUGCUUCUUGAAGAAGCGCCGCCGCGAAGAUCGCGCCUUUGGCUGGUUACUAUCUGGAUCGGGUUUUCUGUUGAUGCAAGUGAAGCGCUGUACAGUUCUUUCUUCCUUUUUUUUUUUUCUGCUGAUGAUCCGAAGUGUUAAUUUGGGAGGAGGUGAAUCCUGCUACAGCUUAUGCUAGAACUAUCUCCGAUUUAGUGUACCUUUGGGGGAGGGGGAGUGAAGAGAUUGGAUUCUGUUUUGCGUUUCCUCUUCGGUGAUUAGCACCCUAACACCGUGCAGGAUUCUAGCUUAUCCAAGAUUUAACCUAUUCGUGCGCCGUUAGCGCAAGUGGUUAGCAAGCAACGUAAAGGUCUGCGAUUUGGUUUUCGAUUUGGAUUGCCGAUUACGGGGGCAUAUCCUAUUGGGAGAUUCCGGCUUGUAAAGAUAUCCUUUGCCCCUGAGUUGAUUUAAUGUUAAUGUUAGUGGUGGUGGGGAGGGCAGAUAAUACGCAUUCUGAUCUGCCUGUCAAGUUGGGGAGGCAGAGAUGGGUUCAUCGCAGGAAUCCACUUUCUCCUCUGCCUCGACGGCCGCGCAAGUGAAUGCCUGCGCUUUGGACCUGCUCCCAGUCUAUGCCAAGGAGCUUAUUGCCGGGGGUGCGGCUGGUGCAUUUGCAAAGACUGCGGUAGCGCCACUGGAGAGGGUCAAGAUCUUACUGCAGGUUUGAACUGCUCAAAUUUCCAUUUCAUUAUAUGUGGUGACUGAAUGACAACUAAACUGAAUUACUAACUUCUAAGUGUAUGUAUGCUGUUGCUUUUUAGACGAGGACUCAAGGGUUUCAAUCCCUUGGUAUCCUGCAAUCCUUGAGGAAGCUGUGGCAGUAUGAGGGAGUUCGAGGAUUCUACAAGUGAGUUCCAUGCAGAAAUACAUUAAGCUCUGAUUGCUGAAUUUGAUUUCUUAAUUUUAAUGCCGUGUUACUGUUCCUGAAGAGGGAAUGGCGCGAGUGUGCUUCGGAUUGUUCCAUAUGCGGCAUUGCAUUACAUGACAUACGAACAGUAUCGGUGUUGGAUAUUGAAUAAUUAUGCUCCAUCAGUGGGUACAGGGCCUGUGGUUGAUCUAUUGGCUGGCUCGGCUGCAGGUGGGACUGCAGUUCUAUGUACUUACCCAUUAGACCUUGCUAGGACAAAGCUGGCAUAUCAGGUAUUUCAUGCCCAUGCUGAUGCUUUGUUAGUUGUCGUCUUUUUUGUUAUUAGUAGUGUCAGGAGUCUAUAUCAGUAGAAUUGUUACUUGAAUUAUUUGAUGAUCUCUGUUAGUCGUUGGCUACUUCCUUUGUUCCAAAAUACAAAGCAUUUUUAGCAUUCCAAUCUUGUUCCAUGGUGUAAGCAUUUCUAGCAUUAUUCGUAGUACUACUUGUUUCAUUAAUCACUUCAUUCAAAUUUCUUCUCUUACCCCUACCAAUGUCCAUUCAUUCCACAUUUAUUGAGGGGCACCAAAGUCUUUUCUCCUUAACCUUAAUCUCUGCUAAAAAAAACCUAGAAAUGCUUAUUUUUGGAACAAAGAGAGUAUUUUUUUUCCUGCAAAUAUCAGUAGUUUACGUGAUGCCAUCUCUAGCCAUUCAUUAUAAGGAACCAUUAGCUCUCGGUUGUGUUUAUUAAUUUUCUUCAAAAUCACUGCAGGUUUCAAAUGUGGGUCAACCUGGCAAUGUGUUGGGAAAUUCUGGUCGACAACCAACAUAUGGUGGUAUCAAGGAUGUUUUCAAAACUGUUUACAAGGAAGGAGGCGCACGAGCUCUAUACCGUGGAGUAGGUAAGUCUUAUGUGACCCCACGCCCCUUGCUAUGGUUGAAGUUAGCACCAUUAGGUUUGUUAGUGUGAACGUAACAUAAUAUCAUCUCUCUUCUGAUUUGCUGCAUUUGUUCUAUGCUUUGCAUCAUCAAAUGCUGUGCACUUGUGCAGCUUUCUUUACAUUGUAGCAAGGCAUGAAUCAAAAUUGGCAAUUAAUUGCACAUGAACCUAUGAUUCUUUUUGUCAUUUGGGUAAUUAUGCACUUCAAAAAACUAAGAGCAACUAAUAUUUGCAACAAUGUGUACUAUACAAAAAGACAAUCACAUUUUGCAUAAUGUUUUUUUUCACUCACUUGUUCCUACAUGUGUUCUACAUUCUAAGGGUUUUCUAAGUGGCCAGGUAUACAGACCAGAAUAGGGUCAUAUGCACAUAGGACCUAAAAUCUACUGUAGCAAGUUGGUGGUUCAGCAAGCUCAACUUAAUGACCCAUAAGCAUGUUGAAUUGUAUUUUUCAGUAUCGUCUAAAACAAGGCACCACCAUUUAGUUACCUUCUAGCUCCAAUCAAUUUGGACUAGGUUUAGUAAAAAAUAGCACAUGUGAGAGAAAAGCUAGUUCUAACCAUCAUCUUCAUUUGUAUUAAUAUAAAUAUGUUUUGAGAAUCACGUGAAAUAUGUUUUAAGCUAUAACCUCAGAAUCCUUCUUCUAGCAAAAUCACAGAAAUCAGAGAUGAUGUGAAUAUGUUCAUAAGAAAGGCAUAAGUUGAUCUGCAUCAAAGGGGAAAAUGAGUAGAAGGGCAAUAGAAAUAAAAGUAGUUGGUUAGAUAACUUUCACACUAGAAAAGAAUAAAGAAAUCAUACAACAUUUUACUGUUCUAAAAUUCAUCCUCCUUGUAUGAAUUUUUUUCAUAUAUUUUCUGUGUUUUGACUCCCUAGUACAAAUUGCAAAUUUAAUGCAAAGAUAUAUGGUGUUAAGUGAAAAGAUUGGUUUAGACCUAGGCCGCGUUUGAUACAACCAAUAAGUUAUCUAAAUCUCUUUUUUUUCGCGCGCACGCUUUUCAAACUGUUAAAAGGUGUAGUUUGUACGAAAAUUUUCUUUAGGAAAGUUGUUUUAAUAAUCAUAUUAAUUUAAUUUAUAUUUUUUAAUAAUUAAUAAUUAAUUAAUCAUGUACUAAUCUAUUACUACGUUUUCUGCGCCGGAUAACUAACACCCAUUUUCCUCACUGCCGAACACGGCCCUAGUCCAUUGUAAAACUUUGGUCAAAAUAUCUGGACCAAAGUGAAAUUUACUCUUUAUUUAGUCAUCCUCCGAUAUGUGUAUUGAGAUAUGAGUUCAAAAAAUAACUCCAAUCAAUUUCAGGUCCAACUCUGAUCGGUAUCCUACCAUAUGCUGGCCUAAAAUUCUAUAUAUAUGAAGACCUGAAAUCUCGAGUUCCAGAAGAUUACAAGAGAUCUGUUGUAUUGAAGCUUUCUUGUGGUGCUUUAGCUGGUCUUUUUGGGCAAACCCUCACUUAUCCACUGGAUGUUGUCCGAAGACAGAUGCAGGUACAAACUAAACUCUCAGUCAAAGAUAAUCUGUGCGUUAUGAUUUGAAUUUUGAUGCCUGAUUAGUUCUUGACCUGUUGUUCCGUGUUCAGGUUCAGAGUAAGCAACCUCAUAAUGCAAAUGGUGCCUUCCGUAUAAGAGGGACAUUUCAGGGCCUAGCACUCAUUAUUAGGUGCCAGGGGUGGAGGCAACUCUUCGCUGGCUUAAGUCUUAACUAUGUGAAGGUAAUAAGCCCGAGUGAGUUUCCUAGAGGGAAAAGGAAAAAUAAAAAAAUGAAAUAGCAUUUACAAAAUGUAAAAAGUAACUGAUUCUUAUAUAUGUAAGCAGCACUUGUAGUAGGUUGCUUUUAUUCUGUUCAUUUAUAUGCAUCUAUUGAAUAGGGACAUCAGAGAUGGUCAUUUCAAACUGUUUCUUAGAUAUGCAGUGAUGUCUAAAAAAAGUGAACAUAUCAUUUUUCAGGUCGUCCCUUCGGUUGCUAUUGGUUUCACAACAUAUGACAUGAUGAAGAAUUUGCUGAGAGUGCCACCCCGAGAGAGACUUUACCAAUCAUCCGGUAACGCAUGAAACGUCUCACUGGACUAUUUGUGUCGUGACGGAUGAACUUAAUAAACUCCACUCGGUGGCAUUGUAUUUUUAACCGUAAAUUCUAUCGCUAUGUUGCAUUGGAUGGAUAUAAUUCAGUAAUUAACUGUUGCAUUUGUAAGAAUGAUGGUCAGCUGAGUUACUCUAGACUUGGAUAAGGUUGUGUAUAUUGGAUGUGCUGCCUGUAUGCUUCAAUUUGAUCAGAUAUUGAACCUAAGACUGCCCUACCUGAGUUGUACAUAUACUAGUACAGUAUUAACCGUAAUUAGAUAUUUCUUUUAUGUAUUUCUUCUACUUAUACAUAAAUCAUUGCUUGAAUGAUAUUUUGGAAGCAGAGCUCAUGAAAGAUGAAAAGGAGAACUCCAUGAUGCUCCUCCCAAAUUUAAACGGCUCUCUGGAGCCUCACUUGAUUGAUUUUCUCUUUGGCACUUCCGAUGUCAUCCAAACCUUAGUUGCAACGAAAUUUUCACACAAUCCUCGCAUGUCAAUCCCUAUCUUGAAAUACAUACAUCACUCUAACCAAAGUAAUUGCUUUUUUUCUCUAAUCUCAGGAAGUCUUCUAAAAUAAAUAAAUCAAUUCUUUCAUUCACAUAAAUAAGAUCAAGCUCAUAGAGGCUAACAAGAAUUGCACAAGGUACACUUUGGCAUACAUCCAUCAACAUAGAGAAUAGAACACCAAAAGCAGAAAACAAUUGAAGAAAGAAAGCACACAACUGCAAACUGUACACCAUCCAUCCAUCCAUCCACAGCCCCCAUGGACAUCAUUCUUCAGUUUCCAAGAACACACACACACACACGCACACACACAAAAAAGAAUAAAAUCCACAUGAUCAGAUUCUGCCAAGCUCAAUCCUUUUUCUUGUUCCCAGGGUUGCAGAACCUCUCGAACAGCAUUGCAAAGUAGCCAAUGAAGCCGAGCCGCUUCGACGGAUCAUCCUUCUCCACAUCCCUCUUUGAUUCUUCAGGCUCCUCUCCUGCUGCUGCUGCUGCUGAAGUUUCAGCAGCAGCCUCAGCCUCGUUUGCAGUUUCAGUCGCAGCUCCUUCUGCUCCUGGGUGCAGCUGCUGCUGCACGGCAGCGACGACGGCCUGAAUUUCCUCCACGGCUUGUACCGCCACGUUGGAGUCCUCGGCCUUGCUGGCGGAGGCGCCCUCGUCGGCGUUCUUCGCAGCCUCGCCUUCCUUCGCCUUCUCCUCAGGCUCAGGCUCCUUAUCUUUGUUGGUUGGAUCAUGCACAAAGUAGGGGAAAAGAUGCAGAGAAGUUUAUAUUCAGGUUUUGGAUAUUCAGAGUGUACACAAUGCAAGUGCUUCCCUUGAAUGAUAACUAAUCUGGCUAGGGCCUCGUUCGAUUCCCCCCUUAACAACCCUAGAUUCUCUCGUUUUUCGUACGCACACAUCCCGAACCAUUAAACGGUGUAUUUUUUGCGAAAGUUUUCUAUAUGAAAGUUGCUUUAAAAGUUAAGAUUAAUCUAAUUUUCUAAUUUUUUUAUAACUAAUAAUUAAAUUAAUCAUGUACAAAUCUAUUACCGUGUUUUUCGCGCCGGUUAACAACCCAUCUCCUGAACGCAGCCUAGGUCUUAAAUACUGUUAGAUGUCAAUAGUAGAAGUGAUCUCAACUGUUAAUUCGUUAGUUCUACUACCGCUAGAAAAAAAUCUACCAGUUUUUAGGUGGUACCAUCAGAUUAGAAAAGAUGAAUGGAUUCUACUAGUAUUAGAGAUUGUUGUAGACAUGUCAACUUAUGUUUAUUCUAACCUAGAAAUUAGACAUCUCAAAAGAAAAUUUACCAUGUUUCCCCAGAUGCAAAGCAUGAGCAAGGCUGGUGAUUUCUUCCUUGACCUUGUCCAGUUUCUCCACCACUUCUGGGUUACUCUUCACAUCCUUGACCUUGUCAAUGACUUUGUUGAAGGCUUCCAUAUCUUUCUUCCCUUGUUCUUCACUUCCUUGCUCUAUGAAAAUCAACAAGAGUUCCUCUCAGAGAAUAUUAUGCAGUCAGACGAGUUACAGUAAGAAAUGGAAGCCUAUCCGUAGCAAUUUUAAUGUCAGGAACAUCACAAAAGAUUCUUUAACAUUAUCAAUUGCAUCUUCUAACAUGUUACUUUUCUGAUUACAAUUCGCAGGAGCAUAGAAAACAUGACGUAUCGGUUGGCCUGAUGCUAGGCUAUCAAGAAACUGCAAAUCACAGUGUUUGCAUAUGGAUAUUACAGUAGUUCAGAAAUAUGUAUGACAACUUGACAAGAAAGAGGUAAACGACAACUGAAUUUCUAAGUGACUGGAUAGAACGAAUUCCUGCGGAGCAUACAUGACAAGAAAUUAAGACUAAACAAUAAUUAACAACAAAGUGGAGUGAUCAAGAAUCACAAUCACCGUAUUUUUCCUCCAAAAUAUUCUAAUAGAAUCUGAUCAAACACAUGCCAGGGGAGAGGAUUCUCCAGUUACUGAUCAAAUCGAAACGAAGAACAUCCUACGGUUCCAAAAUAUAAGCAGGAGUAUCAAAGUCCCCUUGAAUCCCCUUGCAGAACAUGUAUCACAAAUUCACAAUCAUGCAGUCAAAGAAAGUAAAAGAAAAGGAUAACAAACUUGCAAGAACAUCAACACCCCCAUCUUGCGUCUUGGAUCAAUCUGCAGUCAAAGAAAGUAAAAGAAAGAGAGAGAGAGAGAGAGAGAGAGAAUUUUACCAGUUCAAAACUGCUGGCUUAUAGAUGGAAAUGAAGCUUGUGAUAACUGGGGAAAGCUAAAAAGAAGAGAGAAGACUGAAAGGUUCAAGCUUUCAGUGUGAAUGAGAAGACUGGGAAUUCUGGGCUGGCUGUUGGGUUUGGGUCUCUGUGUCUGUAUAGGGGCUCUAAUGAAGCCCCUUGAUCUGGAUUAAAAAAGGAUAAUGGUGCUGCAUGAUAUAUAUAUACAGACAUAAUACUGGAGCAUCAUACAUGGUAGGGCAGUUGCUGGAGAGUGACAGCUAAAUAGACACCAGCAAAUUGCAGGCAUUGAUUGUGGUUGGUCGAAGAUGAUUUUGCAGUGUUGGCUUGCACGAUGCAGUUUGACAGAGUGUCAUUGGCUCAUUGCCCCAACUGGGUCAAUCAAAUAGUAUAAAGGAUGAUGCUUUAUUAUUAUUGUUGUUGUUCUUCUUCUUCUUUUCUCUGAAUUUUUGUUUGUUUUGCUUGAUCCAAAGAACUUAAGAGAAGAAUAUAUGGCAUAAUAGUUGGAUCCUGUGUUAUUUAGGAUUUUGUUUUCUGAAUUCUUAGUUGAAAUAGCUGAGUUGGAGUUGACGGUUUUGUUGUACAUUAUGUGCGUGUGUACUAAGGUCAACCUAACCAUCUGUCACAUGGAAGCCAACUAAGGACACAAGAACAUGUUGCUUGAGCUGUAAUUGUCUCUAAGGAAUGAAAAGAAAACAGAUAUUUCCUGUAUUCAGCUAGCAAUGAUCCUCUGAAUAUGAAAUGUAGUGAAUUAGUUGUGUGAUCUUUUGUAUGAAUAGCUCUGUUCAUGGGCAAAAGCAAGCUGGAAAAUGGUAUCAGGUACUCAACCACACAUGCCCAACAUCCCAGAUAAUCAUUGUGCAGAAAAGUAGCUUUUACUUUGAAGUAAAGCUAAGCAAUCCUAUAGGCUGGGUGAACCUAUUCUGCUGAAGCUAGACCAAUGCAAAAAUGCAGUUCUUGCAAGCUAUGGAAUACUCAAAUACAAGCCACAAUUUGGUGGCUGGACCAUUCAAAUAGUAAUCCUUCAUGUGGUUGUUAGUUUUAUUGAACUUAACCAAGUUUUAUCAUAAAUUUGUUUUCAUAACUCUAGUUGUUUGCCAGUUUCCAUGCUCACUUUGCAUUUGUCAGAUUUAAGUUUCUCUGUUUGCUCACAUGUCAUCCUUGUAUCAUUGGAGAACAACCUGUGCAUAUUUGAUGUUGUCCGUGGUAUAUUUAUUUCAACCAAAAAUUUCAGUCAUUUUCUAUUAAAAAGUGUUACAUAUGGAUUCUCAUGAUCUGAAUGAAAUGAUGACUGGAGUUACCUUCUGAAGGCAUAAUAUGUUACAUCUUUUUUUCUUCUGUAAAUUAGAUGGUUUGUGGAUUUCAUACAAAGGGGCCAUUUCUGAAAAAGAUAUCUCACCUAACAAGGGAGAUUGUAUGUUGAUGCAAAGACUAGCUAGCUCCAUCCAUGAUCAAGUGGUUUAUCACACUAAUUCUUUUAGGGGGCUGUCACAUUCUAAGUUGCUGAUACACAGUACAUCUCACUGUAGAACUCAUGGGACCUAAUCUUCAAAUACUACUACCCGCCUACCCGGCGCAUAUUUAUUUGUAGAACCUAAUUUGGGUUAAGUUUGUACUUAUUUUUUAUGAAUUGUGGUCUAACUAGAAGUUGAAAGUUAAAACUGAGCCAAUAGAUCAUUUUUUUUUUCUACAUCUCCGUGAAACUAACAAAAAAACAUAGGAUAAUUUCAAACAUCUUAUAAUAUGCAGGAUUUCAAAAUCACUCUGAAUCUGAAUUGGGUGCAGUACUCUAAUUUACCUAGAUCCUUGGACUGUCUGGCCUCUGAAUGUCCUUCAAUAUGGAUGAUUGAUCCGAGGGUCGUCUUCACAUCAUCUUGAAGAUUUCCCGCGCUCUCUUCGGCAUCUAUCAAUCGAUUCCAAAGGUCAGGGGCGCAUGACAAUAUUGAAUUUACAACAUGAUCUGCUUGCUGUCCAUUAAGACUUCGAACAGCUAGUGUGGGGAAUAUGCAAGGCACGACGAACUCUUUUCAGUUCAACUCUGAAACCUUCAGGUCUGAUUAAGUACUAUUGCUGUUUCUAUUUUUAUUAGUUGUUGAAGUUCGUGUGAUCAUCAGAGUUUUUCUUGUGUUGGUUUGCAGCAUAUGACCCAUCAUAAAAAAUAUAUGAGUAAAUUUCAAAAAACUGUAAUUAUUUUGUCAAAAUUAUCACUCUGCUACAACUUUAGAUUGAUAUUUCACAAAACUUCAAUAAUAAACAACGAUUUUAACAUGAAACUGUAAUUUUACUCCCUUCUUGUAUAUGACACAUGGGACCAACUUACACCAGCAUGUUUGGAUAAUAUGUGGGCUAAAAACUUUUUAAACUAAUAAAGUUGUAGUUUUCUAAUAAAAACAUACACUAUUGUUGUAGUUCUCUAAAAUAACUAGCUAAAGUUGCUGCAAACUGAUAAGUUUGCCAAAACAGUUGCUUUUAUCUGAAAUUAAAAUACAUUGACUGUCCUAUUUUGACACUUCUAAGGGCAUUUGCAUGCCUCUGUCUCUGGACGUGUGCCAUAAAAAUGUCAGUUUAUUGAGAUGAUAAUCAAGCAAUCUAACUGGCCAAGCAUAUGUGAAUUCACCACGAUGAACAAACCAUAAUUUGACAGUCAAUAGUUCAAAUACGAAUCAUUCAGAUUUCCUUAUUUUCUGAACUCUUACAUGCUGUUAAUGUCAGGUAUGAUAAUACUUUGGAGGUUGAAGAACUGAAAGUCUGAACAGGUUUGUUUCAACCUGAAUAGCAUUCUUUUAAGAGUUUUACUCGCAUCCUUCUUUUUUACCUCGAGGUACCGGUACCUAGUGGUACCAAAUUGUUUCUGAUCGUUAAAUCCAACAGUGCACAUCCUAUUUAGCUAGAUUCAAUGGUGAGAAACAAUUUGAUACCGAUACCUCAACGUACAAAAGGAAGGAUGGGAGUAAAACUCUUCCUGUAAACUAGUUUCUUGGCUAAAAAGAAAUGGAGUGACUAACCGUUCUUUGUUGUCUGGAGAGUUCCUACAAUGGAACCAAGUCCUCCGUUGGCACUAUCGAAAAUGUUCUUCCUGCGGCUAUCUUUGUCCUUCUUCGAUGACGAUCCGUUGGAGUCCUUCACUUUCUUUGAAUUCUUUCUCUGAAAAAACAUUUUGUUUUGUUCUUCCUCUUACACUGCAACAGUUUAUGUAGAAAGGAGAAAACAUAAGCAAUCUGCAGUCCACCAGCAGCAGAUUCAAGAAAUACUAAGAGAUGGUUGUAUUAACUCUAGUUAUAUUGUUGAGCCAAUUGGCUAUGAAAAAAUCAAGACCUAUCAAAGCAUCUAUCAAACCCAUUCAUCAAUUUUAUUUCCUCAUAUUAUACUCUCUUUCAGAACUGACUGGAGCAUAUUCUGCAGAUUCAUGUAAUGCAGUUCAUGCUAACUUCAGCUCUGCCAAGCUUUUUCUUUAUCCCAAAAACUACACCAUACACAGAAAAAUUGUUUAAUUCAUAUGGUUCAUGAUGUCUAACGAUAUAGCAGAUUAAAAAAAAAGUGGAACACCCUUGGUGGUUCUGCACGAUGGUUUCUACUGGUUCAUAUCAUACAAAUUUGCUCCUGCUUACUGAAAUUUGAGAGAGGAAUCUGAACAUAAAUGUUCUGAAACUUUGUCACAAAUGAAGAAAAAGAUGAUCUGAUAUGAUCAGGUGAACAAGAACAACACAUAUGCUCUUUUAACUCAUGGCAAGCAACAACACCUAACUAACUCAUCAUUAAACCGACCCAGCUAAAAACUCAUGAUUCCACUAAACUUGUAGGGAAACACAACAACAAAAAAGGGACAGAAGAAAGAAGACAAGAAACAUAGAAGUGGGGCAUAUGCAUAUCUUACCUACCUCCUUGAUAAGUUGAUAUGAACAGAAAAUGGAGAGAGAGAGAGGUUGCAAAGGAGAUGAGAGCAGAAAGAGAGGAGAGCAAAGGAGAUGCAAAGGAAAAAAGUGAUCCUCCUUUUAUGGAGCUGUUAGUCGUUGCCACAAUUUAAGCUUGUCAGCAGGUACCCCUCAACCAGCAACCAUUAGCCUCUAAUUUCUUAAAUCUUUUUUUUCAUGUUUAUAACUUGCAGAGAUGAGCAUUUCAUUUGUUUAUUAUUGACUCGACAACAUGAUACCAAAACUAUUGGUUUUGUGCUCUCUUCUGAUACUGUUGUGGAUAUGUCCUCCUGUGUGUUUGACUCAACCAGCACACAAUCAUGUUUUUAUCAGAGAGAGGUUGUUGCACCAAAGAAAGGUGAACACAUGCCCAUGCAGAUUAGAUGUUAAGUAAAAUAAACUGUAAGUUGAAUAUGAAGUGUUACACAAGGAGCCCCCUUGACCUAUCUUGUACACUUUCUUUUGCUUGCUGCAGCAGCCCAGAUGAUUGAACCAGUCUUUCAGAGAUAUACACCUCACGUGUAUCUUGAGAGUUUUGAUUUGCCUAAAUUAUCCUAAUCCUGCUACCACAUGAAAAAAAAACUCAUGUUCAGAUACAAACCUUGCACCAUUCAGAGGCCAGAUGAUACGAUAAACUCAAGAUAAAUUCUUGCCCCGUUAUUUUUUUUUUUCAGAAACACACUCUCUUGCAAACAGACCGCACUGUCUGAAUUUGACCGACAAAUUUCACAGAAUUUUUUUUUUCAUUUUGCUGCAGAUUUCAUAACCAAAAAAACCAUGCUCCAAAGGCCUCUCCUUUUUAUCAGAAAGAGAAGACCAUUCAUGAUGGACAGAAACAUCUGAAAAAUUAAGAAGCUGACAGGGAGUCACGGCCGGCGCCUUGAAUUGAAUCGGGAUAAGCAGGAGCAGAUGAAAGGAGAGAAGAACGAGCCGGCAGACAGCUCACGAUGGCCCUUAAUUAGCCAGCAGCGAGAGAUUAAGACCUGCGACAUCAACUUGGUUUUAAGGAACACGAGGAGGAAGAAGAAGGAGAAGGAGGAGGAGGCUGAACACGUUCACGUCGGGUUCUUGCUGCAGCCUAUCAAGAUCAGCGAUUUAAUCGGCGAAGCCAUUGAUGGCAUGCGUGUCAUCGAGAAUUGGAUUGAUGCUGACACUCUUGCUAAUUCCUCGUCUACAAUGAUCGAUCUGCAGCAGGGCAAUUUCCUGAUGAUUUUAACCAUUUUAUAAUUCAACGAAAAAUAAAAUACUAAUAUCUCAAACGCGGCAAUAUUUUUCAUCGAUUUUGUCACUGAAACGCGACAUGUGUUUCAGUCUAUAUCUCAAAAAUAAAUGCUGCUGUAUACUGUGUACAUGCGAGUUGAUUACUUGAAGCAGACAAGUAAUCGUCAUGGAUGUUAGCUAGCUGCACGUAAUUGGAGGAGAUUUGAGUAGUAGGAGGGCGUACGUGCACGAGUGGAUAAUCUAGCUCCGUGAUUCCUUCUCUCUUUGUGUACGUCAACGAUGCAUCAGGCCCGAUUAAUCCGGGCAAUCGAUAUGGGAUCAACCGUUUCAUAUUCCGGCGUAGCAACUGGAAUAUGCUUAUAUGCCAUUUUGGAGUAUUUCUUUAAGCCAUUAUGCCAUGCACAACUCGUCUGUAGAGUGCUAGCUAGUACGGAGUCAAAGCUUAUUAUGAGGCUGGUUUUGAUGAAUGUUUCUUGGCAUUUUUUUUACCGUAAGUCGAAUAUCCUUAGAGAGGAAUUUUAACCGGUUUUGAUAGUUAAGUGGCAUAAAUAUCUGGUUUUACAGGCAACGGUUUGUUUUUAGGAUUGAGCUAUUAAAACAGGCUUAAAAGUGUCUAUUUCACUCGAUUUUCAACCACCCCCUACUCCCCUUGCCCUCUGCCUCGUUAGCAUCGCCUCUACCUCUAGCGCUAACGAGGUCUGCCACACCGUGCCACGGUUCUCGUCCACCUCUAGCUCUGAUGUCCACAUGCAACCACGUUUCUUCGUCUCCGGUGACUCUUGCCACCGGACCGAUUGACAUCUAAACACUCCAACAUUGGUCAUACUACACUUCUCUACUAUGGCUACCCUUCUCUCCUAUGGCUAAGACGUUGGCGCCACCAUAGCCACUCACCCGCAACUGGCCUCUAGUAAGAUAUAUUGAUGUGUCGAGUAGACAUCAUAAAGAUCACAUCGAUUGAACCUGUAGCAUGUUAAUGUUCAAUUCCCUUUAUCACCCAAUAUCGAUUAAGCACAAGGAGAGGCAUGUGUCAUCCUUUCAAUAGCUUAAUCAAGCACUCAAGCAUGUAGUAGAUUAAUUUUCUCAUGAUUGACUCCUCAAUCACGCCAUGCACUUUCGUAAUCUAUUUUGUCAAGGAGACUAUGAGUAGGCUUGUUCAAAACCUAUAGUAGGCUAGCCCUGGAAAAAGCCCGACCAAAAAAACUAGGCCCGAGCUCGACAUUUCUAGCAAAAACAAAGCCCAAGCCCAUUCCGACCCCUAGGUUUUCUUGGGUUUUAUCGGGCUUUUCAUAAUUUUUAGAGUUUGGGCUUCAAUAUCUAUGACUAGGCCCGGCUCAGUGCAUGGUCUGGUCGAGUCAGGCUUGGGUUUCUUUGGGUUGGGCCGGGGCGGGCUAGACCUGAACAUGCUUGCCCAUGAGAUUCAUAAGCUAGCAGGGGUAAAUCCCAUCUUGAUCAUCCACAUCUCACUAUUAGUUUCAAUUAAAACCCGAAGAGUACCUUUAUAAUUACACAUUCACACUGCAACAUUUGGUAGUCCCUAAAUAGACCACCACACAUGUUGAGAACCAUGACAAUCUCAAGUCUAAGGAAUCAAUAUCAUCAAUACUUGAUACCAACUAAUGACACAUAGUAAUCCUUGGGGUGUUUCAUAUGGGUUUGUUCAACAACAUGAUCUCUAACAUGUGUCCAUAUUGUUGAUUUAGUAUCUCCAUACCAUGAUCCAUGAAACAUGGUCAUCAAUCAAUACAUGUGUUAACCUUAGAAUCAUAUUCAUUCCAUAUAUGAUUUGAUUAAGGACCAUUUAGAAAUAGUAACAUAACACAUAAAGAGUUUUAUGAAUUAGUCGCAUACUCAUCGAUCAACAUUAAGUUUUCAAGAAACGGUAUAACACUAUUCAUAAUAGCCAUAAAUAUAGUAAGUAAUAUAAUCAUCUCUAUGAUUGCCUCUAGGACAUAUCACUAAAAAUGAAGACACAGAUGCAAUGCCCACACCGGAUAUAUGCAUUUAUGGUGCCACAUUCUACAUGCAUACUCUACUCUAACAUACAUGCACUAGCAUUUCUAUGAUUCUAUCUAAGUGAUCUAUGGUGGCUAAUGUGCUAUAGUCUUUGUGGUUGGAAAACACUAUGUCGUGCACUCCAUGCUUUUGAUUGCUUAGAGCAACUCCAAAAAACUUGGCAUAGACCUCUUCAAACUAAAUUUGGCAAACUUGACAAAAAAUUGGCCUCCAACAAAUUUGCCAAACAGGUUGCCUUGUCAUCCAACUUGCCAAACUCAUUCCUCACUUGCUAGAUUAAGCAAGUCAUCUAGCCUUGCCAAACAUGGGUCCCACCACUGUAAGAUCAUAUGCAUAAUUAUAUUUUCCGAUGAACAAUUGACUUGCGAAUUGGUUUAUAAAUGAAAUUUGGUUUGAAAAUAAUUAUGAUGUUGGCGUGAGUGUGCGUGAUUAAUGUGGGUCCAGUUAAGAUAUCUGUGCCCGAAAACAGUUGGUUUGUCUCUAUGUGUGCAGGUGACUUAAGGUCAAUAUCGGUCAGUGGCGGUGGGAUCGUGACUAAGCUCAUGGAGGAGCUAAGGUCCGAACGGUCGAGAAUGCCGAGUGAUGAUAUUGAAUACAAAAUGACACAUGGUGGAGGAACACCGUUAUGAGGAUGGAUGUGUAACGAGUUUCAUAUAUUAUAUAUGCGAACGCUUGGAAAACUUAGGCAGAUCUUAGGUCAAUUUUAGAAAAAUACUUAGCUCCAUAUAAUUCAUCCAAGAGAUCUUCAAUUACUGGGAUGGGGUACUUGUUUUUGAUGGUCUGUGAGUUCAAUUGACGAUAAUCGAUGCACAUGCGCCAGGUCCCAUCCUUCUUUCUGACCAAAAUGGCAGGAGAUGAGUAAGGACUAGAGCUAGGUUCGAUGGUAUGAGAAGUGAGCAACUGUUGGAUGAUGUCUUCCGGUGCAUUUUUUUGGUGAUGUGACUAUUGACGAUCUUAAAGUAUUGGUGAGUGAGUUCAAGAGAAUCUCUAUCCCGACAGGGAGCUAAUUUCACUUGCUGUUACUUUGCAGAGGAGAAACUCUUUCUUUUGUUCUUUGUAGUUCUUUUCUUGAGUUAGAACUAGAGUUGUUUAUGCAGCGGCUAUUUAUGCAGAUAUUGAUCUAUGCAUUUUCUCGUUUUCCUCCUAAAUAGAAGAUUCUUCUCCUAAAUAGAAGUUUCUUCUUUUUUCAUGGACUUGUUUUUCUCCCGAUAGUACACCGCCUGGCACGGUAGCAUGCAUGCAUGUCAGGAGGAGGCAGUGCAUUGUAUUGCUUUGGUUGACGAUGGAUGUGCAUGCGGAUCUUUGGAGAUCGAAAGAAAGAUAUUCAAUUUCGGUAAAUUGAAUUAGUUUUGAAAACUAAGAUAUGAGUUUUAUUAGGAUAAGGAGUCCUACUCCUUAUUGGAGAUAGAUUUUUAUGAUAUAAAUAGACACCGAGGAGUAUCUCCCCGGUGUGCUUUUUUGUGAGAUUUAGAAUUAGAAAAUUAGAGUUUAGAAUAGUUGUUGAUUGUAGAUCGAUAAUUUUGAAAGAAGUGUUGUUGGUGCGCUUUGUAAAUUUUAGUUAUGCAAUAAAGUCAAGAUCAUUCAAUCUACGUUUUUGGCUUUCAUCUACUAGUGAUUUUCUGGAUUCCAACGAUCAGAUCGGCGGCAUAGAAGUGACGUGAUCCGAUGAUCUGAUCGGUGGUACAGGAGCGGCGCGAUCAAGGUAACGACGACACAGGAGCGACGCGAUCAAUGUAGCAAGUUUCCGUCAAUUUCUUCGACAGAGGUAAUCUUUUAUUCCGCGAAAGAUUUUUAGGUUUUGGUUUUCUCUACCAUUUACCCCCCUCUGGUAGGUUUGUUUGAUCUUGUUUGAUCCUACAAGUGAUAUCAGAGCCUCGUUUUUCUAUUCGAUCUUUGUCGAUCUUUAGAUCUAUUUGCCAUGGCUGAAAAGUUUUCAAACAAAUCUCACAUCUUUAAUGGAUCUAAUUUUGAUUAUUGGAAGAAAAAGAUGGGAUCUAUAUUACAUCUCAGGGUUAUGAUAUUUGGCAUAAAUUUGAUCAACCUUAUGAGAUCCCCAACCGUAUUAACACUUCUGCUUUAAAAUUAGAUUUUGAAAAUAAUUGCAAAGCACGUAAUAUUAUUCUCAAUAGAAUUUCUCACUCUGAUUCUGAUCGUGUUUCACAUCUUGCAACUGCUAAUGAGAUUUGGAAAGCUUUAAAUGAUUUUCAUACUGGAACUUCAAAUAUAAAAGAGUUGCGAAAAGAUGUUUUCAAAAAGGAGUACAUAAAAUUUGAGAUGAAACUUGGAGAAUUUUUGGAUGACUAUUUGGCUCGUUUUAAUAAAAUUUUGAGUAAUUUUAGAUCUGUUGAUGCUUCUUAUGAUGUUAACUAUCCUGCUUCUUACGAUGUUUUCAAAAAGAUUGAGAAUAAUAAGAAGCAGGAUAGUUAACAUCGUAAGAACCAUCAACAGAUCUAAAAUCACUCAAAAUUUUAUAAAUAGUCAUCCAAAGAUUUUUUAAGUUCCAUCUCAAAUUUUAUAUACUCCUUUUCGAAAACAUCUUUUCGCAACUCUUUUAUAUUUGAAGUUCCAGUAUGAAAAUCAUUUAAACCUUUCCAAAUAUCAUUAGCAGUUGCAAGAUGCGAAACACAAUCAAAAUCGGAGAGAGAAAUUUCAUUGAGAAUAAUAUUGCGUGCUUUGCAAUUAUUUUCAAAAUCUAAUUUUAAAGCAGGAGCGUUAAUGCGGUCGGGGAUCUCAUAAGAUUGAUCAACUUUAUGCCAAAUAUCAUAACCCUGAGAUGUAAUAUAGAUUCCAUCCUUUUCUUCUAAUAAUCAAAAUCAGGUCCAUUAAAGAUGUGAGGUUUGUUUGAAAACUUUUUAGCCAUGACAAAUAGAUCUAAAGAUCAGCAAUGAUUGAAUAGAAAAACGAGGCUCUGAUACCACUUGCAAAAUCAAACAAGAUCAAACAAACCUAACAGAGGGGGUGAAUGGUAGAAAAAACCAAAACUCAAAAAUCUUUCACGGAAUAAAAGAUUACCUCUGUCAAAGAAAUGAUGGAAACUUGCUACGUUGAUCGUGUCGCUCCAGUGUCGCCGCUAACUUGAUCGUGUCACUCCUAUACCGCCGAUCAGAUCGUCAGAUCACGUCACUUCUAUGCCGCCGAUCAGAUCAUCAGAAUCCAGGAAAUCACCAGUAGAUGAAAGCCAAAAACGUAUAUUGAAUGAUUUAUUGUAUCAACUAUAAUUUAAUCAGAGAAAGGCGAGUGAUCCAUUGAUCUUUAAGUUAAAAUUUAACUUAGUAGCGCUGGUGGAUAAUGGGAGGCGGUGUCGUGCGGUUUCCAAAAUAUAGUUGUUCUGUCACGUCAGCUACAGUUAACAGCGGCAGGUGAAUCUUAUGGUAGAUUGCACAUCAAAACCGGCACGGUUAUGGCCGUGCACGUCUUUUUCGGACGAUUCAUUUCUAGUUUCACCCCGCACUGCUCGUUUGCGACGAACCCCUCCUCGUUUUCUUCGCUUCAUCAGUUCUCAACUCAAGCGAUCUCCGACGACGGCGCGGCGAUUUUCCGGCGAUCGUUCUCCCAUCGAUCUCAGUUCAACAACAGGUCAGUACAAGCAUCGUCGAUAUUUUGAAUUACCAUCUCACUUAUUCGCCUGUCAUGUUAACACCUAGGGUUUUAUCGCUUACUGCAUUCCCACACAGUUCACAUCCCUGAUCAUGAAGGUUUUGGGUAAAAUGCCUAAAAAAGUGAAGAAGAUCAAGUUUUCCGACUCGCGGAACGAAUACGAGGUAGUGAUCGAUCAGACCCAAGCUAGUGCUGAACAAACCACAUCAUCAUUUGGAGGGGAUGGAGCAGCACAAGCUCGGCAAAAACGGAGACGGCGUGCAUCGUUGGGGGAAGAUGCCGCCGCUUCCGACGAUGUAAGCAACAUUCAACAUUUUUCACAAAUUUUUCAUUCGUUGUUUCAUCAAUUGUGUUCUUGAUAACACUUGUCAGUUAACUUUUAACUCAUAUCUUGCAUUAGAACAUAUAGCGUACAGGGUUUAUGAAGUUAAAUAUUUACUGCGUGUAUGAAUAUGAGAUAUUUGGUUGCAUCGGCACAACAGUAGCUGUGCUGGACACUAGUUGAUGUUUCGGUCAAAGUUUAACUGAUUGUUUGAAUUAAGCAUUCUUUUUUUUUAAUGUUUAUGUAUGGUCUUGUUUGUUGCACAGUCAAAAUUUAACUAUGUUCCAGUGAAAUAAGUUGUCGUUCUUGAAUGUUUUUGUUUUGUUUAUUUAGGUUUGAACUGUAUGAAAAUGCAAGCUGAUUUAUGGUUGUUGUAGACAAGUAACACAUGAUAGUGGUUGUGACAGCGUACGAUGUAUGUCUUAUGAAGUUCUCAAGAGAGAUGGAUCUUAGCUUAAAAAAUCAAGUUCACAGAAAAUGGUAGAGAUAUUUCAGUACGCAACGUCAUAUAUAAGAUGUUUAAAGAAGAGAAUAAGAAUAUAUGUAUGAUAUCUUAAAGCAUCAGGCAUGGUACCAUGAUAAGUCAACAUGUUACCUCACAUGUAACAUGUACGAUACCUAAACAAUAUCAUGUCUGAAACUAGUAGUAUUAUGUCUUGUAAUGUUGAGACAUAUGUAUAUAUCCACAAAGUACCAUCUUGAUAAUACAUAAUAAGUAUCAUGUACUUUCCUUGUGUGACUAAACAUAACAUAACAGAUAUAAGACACAUGGUAUCGUACUUUGCUUUUUGCUACUUUGUUUUAAAACCAGUUGAUACUCAUAGAAAUUACGUAGGUAACACAGUGUGUAACAUAAGUGAUAUCUAAAAGGUACCAACUUGGUACUAUGUUAAGUAAUAUGGUACCUUACAUGUAUCAUGCAUGAUACCUCAAGAUAUCAGACAUGCUACAUCUAUACAUACGAGGCACCAUACCUAAUACCUUGAGAUAUCAUACACGAUAUAUAUGAGGUAACAUGGUACCUAAGGAGUACCAUGUUACCUGGUAGGUAGUACUCAUGUUACUAAGCUUGUUACCUGGGAGGACCAUGUUACCAAGCCUCGUACCUUUCAGGUAGCACACAUGUUACCAAACAUGUUAUCUAGGGAUACCACGUUACCUGGACACUUCAUUAAAUAUAUAUUAAAUAUAUGGUGAGUACAAACCAAACACAUUCACAUGUAUUAUAACUCUUUCUCUGUUCAUCUGUACCGUUGAGCGAGAUUGAGCGUGCAAAGGCAGGAAUCGCCGAAAGCUUGUUCGUGCAACUGCAUGCAGCGGACGCGCUCCUCGUCGGCGUCGUUGAGCAUCGUUGAGUGCGUGGAGACGCGCGAGCAGCAUGCAUCGGCAGCGAGGAGGGCUACAUCGGUAGCGUCACGACGGUGAGGAGCGUGGCAACAAGAAAUCAGCAUCGCGAUGGCGAGGAGCACAGCUGCAUCGUGCAGAGGAGCGUGUCACGUACAGCAGCGCCGAGUGUCUUGUUUGCUAUCGAAAUCGUGGUUAAAAAACCGGCUAUGGAGCAGAACACCAUGAGUCGUCGCUGACACGAUUAAGUAUAGAUUAAGUAGGGCGGUGACACACUGACACGAUCAUAGGGUACUGGCCCAUUAUCACCUUAACUGGGCUCGACUCCGUAUACGCUCACACCGUCAGGCCCAUUCAGCCCGAAAACCAGUUCACCAAUAGCUCGAGCUGACCGGAAAGGGCGGAAGCUCCUACUAGCUAGGGUUUCUGAGGAGAUGGCGUCGGCGAAGGCGAAGACCCUAGCGCGGGCGGGCUCCUCCCUCCUCGCCCGCCUCCUCGCCUCCCCGUCCCCGCUUCGCGCCGGCCUCCCUCCGCCGCCGCCUCUGCUCGCUAGGCUGCAGCCGCACGUCAUCCCGCCGCCGCCGCCGGAGACGACGGUGGAGGGCUACGAGGCGNNNNNNNNNNNNNNNNNNNNNNNNNNNNNNNNNNNNNNNNNNNNNNNNNNNNNNNNNNNNNNNNNNNNNNNNNNNNNNNNNNNNNNNNNNNNNNNNNNNNNNNNNNNNNNNNNNNNNNNNNNNNNNNNNNNNNNNNNNNNNNNNNNNNNNNNNNNNNNNNNNNNNNNNNNNNNNNNNNNNNNNNNNNNNNNNNNNNNNNNNNNNNNNNNNNNNNNNNNNNNNNNNNNNNNNNNNNNNNNNNNNNNNNNNNNNNNNNNNNNNNNNNNNNNNNNNNNNNNNNNNNNNNNNNNNNNNNNNNNNNNNNNNNNNNNNNNNNNNNNNNNNNNNNNNNNNNNNNNNNNNNNNNNNNNNNNNNNNNNNNNNNNNNNNNNNNNNNNNNNNNNNNNNNNNNNNNNNNNNNNNNNNNNNNNNNCCGGAGCGGUCGGUGGAGAGCUACGAGGCGCAGGCGGUGGCGAGGCUGAGCUCCCUGCCCGGAGAGAUCUCAUUCCCCUGCGGCCUCCCCUCGCUCCGGUUCCUCAUCGACGAAGGUACGGUUUCCACAUGAAUGCUUGUGCUCUGUGGUAGCAGUCGCAUAGCGUGUAUAUGCCGAUAUGGUUGCCGUCUUGUGGUUGUGUGCAGGAUGAAUUGGGAUAUAUGUUUUAUUGCCGUGCUUCGUUCACUCUUGACCCUGUGGCAGUGAGAGUGGGUUAGGCCAUUUUCUUCAUUCGUUCGAUUCUGUCAGAAUGGUUUAGGAAAUUUUAAUUUGAUUAAGGUCUGUUGAUUGAUUUGGUUGGUCGUCAGCCAAUUACUCUGCAAUCUUUUUACUGCUUAACGGUGGCAUGAGCAUGAAGUAUAUACAUCUGUUUAUUAAUUGAAAUUAAUAUGACCUGAGAAGAUGUCUUCUGUUUCCUGUUUAUUGGAUGUGAAAUUUUGAAAAGGUUGACAUCAUUAUGAUAAGUUGUGUGAUUGUUUGAUCUGGUCUGCUAGAGUGUAUACUUCGUAUAUCUGCAGGGCCAGUUCUAUAAUUUCGAGGGCCCUGGGCGAACUCGGUGCCAUAAGCUCUUUAGGCUUAAUAUUUUUUACUUGUAGUAUAUAUUGUAUAAUCAUUUAUCCUCUAAAGGGACACAAAUAAACAUCAUUAACAUGAUAAACCAAGUAUUAACUCUUUAAGAUUUAACUUGCAAUAUAGUCUCAGUUCUAAAUUUUGAUAAAUAAUGUUGACACUAAAUUGAAAACUAAAAUAAAGAAAAUGAAUAUGAGUAAAAAAUGAACCAAAUCAACAAAAAUAAUUUAUGAUUAAUUUUUUUAUUUGUGUUAGCGAUUUAAAAGGCAAUGCUGGAAAAAUUAAACUACAAUAAGAAUACCUUAAGAUCAACUGUAAGUCUAAUAUUAAGUUUCAAAAUUCAAAUUUUGGCUAUGGCAAAUAAGCAAAAAAGUAAAUGAUAGAGCUACCAACCUUAACCAAUAGACUAUCAUCAUCUAUUAGUUUCGCAAGUUGAUUAAUCAUCUACUUUUUUAGAAAGAACAGAUAAAAAACCACAUGAGCAUAUAAAUACAAAUUUGACUGGGCCCCCUCCCAGCUGGGGCCCUAGGCGGGUUGCCCCUCCCGCUUAGGCCCUCAGCCGGCCCUGUAGAUGUGAAUCAUAGAUUGUAGUACUGUUUGCAGUUCUAUUAUAUUGUUCAUCUAUAAAAUGGACCAGUUCUUAGUGACCUACUUUAUGAAAAAGAGAAAAAGAAACCAUGCCGUUCAUACAUAGUUUGGUGAAUUACCUUCACACUUAGUUAAUGAACGGUGAAUUACCUUCAGACUUAGUUAAUGAACGAUUACCGUGUUACGCAGAGAAAGGUACAAUAAUUGGAAUCCAUUAUGUACUAUGUUCAAUUUCAUUGAUGGCUUGGUGCCAUUUUUGAAGCUUGCAUGCCAACCAGAGAUGCAGAAAACAUGGAAUAGUAAACAGUUACUCAUCAACCAACUGAAAAUUAGCAUUCAUAUCGAUAAUAGAAUAGAGGUUAUGGAGCCUAACUAUUACUGAACUUAUGAAGUAGUGGUGGUUCAGUUACUUCAAAUUAAAAUUCUGGCUGUAAAUGUUUUGAAUUUUGAAAAACAUUCUAAUUUUAUUUUGCAAUCUGGCUUUAUCUGCAUGGUGGCAUAUGGUGUUGUUUGUUGUGCUUCUGCUGCUCAAAUUGUGUCUUACUAGCCAUUGUUAUGUGUACGCUACUGAAAUGGUUAAUGAGUUACUCCAUAUACUAGGAAUAUGAUUGUGAUAUGGUGAGUGAGGAUAAAAUUGUUAUUUUUGUCAGUCAGACUGGCUUCCAUGGUUUCUAAUUUGUUGCCUAUCUCUUUUGCUCUUCUUAGGAAAGGAUCCUGGUGCUAAUGAACCCCUGGAGCUACUUCCAAAAAGAACAUACCAGCCCAGUACCAUCAAGCGGAAAAGAACCCAUGGGUUUCUUACACGGUAUCUACAACGGCUGAUCUAAUUGAACUUUAUGUUGUUUUUGCUUGUGUGAGGGGUAAAGGCCCGUGCAAAAGAUGCUAACAUUUAAAGUUACAAUCACUCUCUUUUGUACAUACUUAUGGGACAUGUUAUUUUGGGCUACCAAAAUCCAAUUACAGCGAGUGUAGCUGUGGUUCAGGUGCUUGCGUUUCAGUGCACUGAUAUCCUCUCCUCUUCUUUCUCUUAAACAGAAAAUCAACCAAAGGUGGGCGUAAGGUUAUUGCUCGGAGGAUUGCCAAGGGCAGGCACAGAAUUUCAGUGUAGUGAAAACUCAUAACCAUCUCUGGAGGUUCUUCGGCAACUUCACAUCAUCCAUUCCAUGAACAUCCAAGAACACUCAGUUUCUGCAUGCUUUACCACCCACACCGUGGAGGGACACACUUGCAGCAGAAGCAGUGUGCCAUGUACCGAAUUCCUUUAUGAAAAAUAAACUAGCCAAUGGACUGAUUGGCACUGCUCUUGGCCAAAGGUUGUAUGCACCCAUGUCUAGUUCCAUCUGCACAACCGCAGCUGGCAGGGGCCAAAGCCAAGCUGCUGUCUUUGUGCGUGAGAUCAUUUGCAACCCUCCUAUUUCUGUUGUUUAUUCGUGAGCUAAUCGCAGUCUGACGCCAUGCUGAGCUUGCUUGGCAGGCGUUCUUGUUCCCUGUGUAACCAACCGGGAUUAAUCUUUUCCUCCAGGCCGGUGAAGACGGGGAGAAGAAAAUUUGCAAAGCUGCAUUCGUGUCUCCUGAUGACUCCUGUCGCCAUUUGUCGACAGGAGAAUUCUGGACGUACCUGCCGCUUCAAAACUAGUAUUAUUAUUAUUGUUAUUAUUGAGAAUGUUUGAUAGCUAAACCCGGUGUUUCUCUGCCUGCGCGGCGCAUGGCAGGACGUGUUUGGUUUCUCUUGCUUGGCUGGUUUUCUGUACCUGCUGCGACGUGGCUGUAGCGCCGUGUGUACGUGGAUGCCCUGGAGCUGAUUACCGGUGUGUGCCGCGGAUGCUGAGAGUGAGGCUACUGUGCUGCCUGAGCUGAUGAGACAGCAGUCAAGCAGGUGGUUGGUCCGCAUGCUUUUGGUUCAUCUCUGCUAGGCGUGAACUCGCACGUGUCAGUUAGAUUAUUGUUGUUUUGUUCCACGGUGGAACACUAGGGUAUUAUUACUCUCUGUCGAAAAUAAGCUCAUUUAAGUUGUUUUAUUUAAAUUUUUUUUGAUUAAUACUUGUAUUGCUGUUAGAUGAUAAAACAUGAAUAAUACUCUAUGUCUAACUAAUUUUUUUGAACAUUUAUAUAAAAUUUUCAAAUAAGACAGACAUAGAAAUUAAAAAAUGUUUUUUUGAUGGAGGAAGUAUGUUUAGAGUAAAUAAAGAGAGUAUUAACUUUGAUCCAGAAUAUAAAUAUUUAUAAAUAUUAUUUUGUAUAAAUUAAAGAGAUUAAAAUUUUCUUUGCAGUUAGUUUAAUGGUUAAUUUUUGAAUUGACUAGAUUCUCGCAUCUGAUUGAUUUUGGAAUUGUUAGAACGAUUAAAAUAAUAUGAAUCAGGGUAGAAAUGAUUAUAUUUUGGUAUAAAAUUUAAAUCCUAAAAUGUUUAUAUUUUAGAAUGGAUUGGUUAUGUUCUAUAAUUCAUAUUGAAAAUUCACAUGGUAUGACAUAGUUAUACCUCUCCAGUAUAUUUUAAGAGAAUACAUAAGAUCAUUUUUUUUAAUCUUUUACACAUUUUCCUAUAUAGGAGUGCUACUUUAAAUUUUCAUUUACAACCAGUUAGCCGCUUAUAGAUUAUUGAUAUUAAGAAGAAACCACACCCCUGGCUACACUGCAAAUAGCCAAUUGAGGUACCACAUAGUAGUCUUGGCACUACACUUUAAGCUUCGAUGUUUGUUAAUUCGUCAUUGCUGGAAAACACUAUGUGGAUCUAUGGCACUAUUAUAUGAUUGGAAACAACAGGGGUGAUAAAAAACCAAACUCAUAUUUAUAAAUAAAAAAUAAUUUAUGAAUAAAAAAUUUAUAUAUGUAUUCUUAAUGAUCUAAAAGUCAAUUUUGAAAAAUAAAUUUUAGUAAAAAAACCCUUAAAAUCAACUUCAAAUUUAAGAUUGACAAUUUAAGUUUUGGGUUAUAAGCGUAAACAAAAGCGAGAAAAUGAUGGCGAACAUUUUCACUGCAAAAGACUUGCUGUGGUAAGGUGUACCUGGACUUUCUUUUAUCAGUCAUUAGGCUCUAUCAUAAACUUUGCAACAUUCUCACAAUCAUGGAUGUUCUAGAUAAAUUAUACACAACCCCAUCAUUAUAAGAAACCCUUGCGUUCAUCCUGCUCUCCCAGGCCAUGACAGUAUAGGAAAGAUAGCAGUCGAAUAUCAUGAUAGACGGAAAGACAAGACAGAGAAACAAAUAAAGCAAUAAAGAGCAAAUAAUCAACCCCCCUCACACUACCACACCGAAAAAGAGGCACUGAACGUUACGAGAGAUACCAAAGUAAGAAAACGAGAGCGAAUAAAGAAACAAAAUACACCGAACGGUGGCACGUUAUUACCAGUGAUGUCAUGCGACGGAAUAUUACGAUAGAUACAUGCCAAAAGGAAAACGAGAGAUAUAGCACGAACGUCUUCCCAGUUUCUAAAAUUAUACAUGAGUAUUACGCCCUUAUUUUUUUCUAGAAAGUCAAAAUUUAAAAUUUUAAACUUAAAUUUAGAGCUGAUUUGGAAGAGUUUUUCAUCAUGAUUUAUUAUUUAGUCUUGACUUUUUAGAUGGCUAAGAACAUGUAUAUACAAGUUUAUUUACAAAUUAUUUUUUAUUUGUAAAAAUAUCAUUUAGAAAAAAACCAAACGAUUGCCUCAUAUAUUUUCACGAGAUAGCGUAGUAGGAUUAUUUUUGUUAAUGGACUUUUGCAAAUUUACUAAUAAUUUUUUCUUUAAUUGUAUAAGGAUGUUAUUGAUUUAAUAGUUCUAGUGAUAUUUUUAUAACUAGCAUGACGGCCCACACAAAUUGCGUGGCUAGCAUUAUUAUAUGGGGUCUCUUAUCUUGAUAAUACUUAAUUUUUAAUUGUUUAUAGAUGGACUCUUCCCUCAAUAUAAAUUAUUUUAAUUUUUUAAUCUGAAAUUGGAUUUUCUAAACUAUAUUUACACAUGGACUAUUUUAUAAUAUUUUUUAUUUUUAAUUCUGAAACUGUAUGUAUAAUCAGAUUUUUUUUGUUUUUUUAUUAAUGUAGGAUUGUCUAGCCCGUGAUAGUAAACGUGAAGGCUAUUUUUUCUAUUAUUUUAUAUAUAUAAUAUUCCCUCUUAUCUUGUACGAUUAAAAAAGUUUGUUUUCUCUUUUUUUUUUCUUGUUUUUUUGAUCUCUUGUUUUCUCUUAUAGAAAGUUUUCUUUCCUUAUCUGAUUUCAAUUUUUCAAUUUUCUUAUUUUCUCUCGAUUAAUGUGGGAUUUUUUAGCCAUGAGAAUAAACGUGAAGACUCCUUUUUUAUUACUUUUUAUAUAUAAUAGAUAGAUUUUUUAGUACUAAUUUUAUAAUAACGUUUUAAAACAACUCUACCGUUGUCCUUUUUCUUUAAGCAGUGACAUGUGCUUUUGAAACCUUGUUGCUGAAGGCAGACAUUUUUGAGACACAAGCGGCAGCAGCAGAGAGCGGUGAGUCACGGCGAUCUCUGCCUCGUGUUAGCCAUGCGCGUGCGCACAACGCCACACCGCUUCCCGCCUGACCCCUCCUCCCCCCGUGGGGCUUAACGCUUUUAUUAUUAUUAGAUAGACACAGACGCAAACACAAACCGUGUCCUCCUCACAAAAUCUCAUCAAACGCUUAAACCCCAGCACCUCGCCGCGCCGCGCCGCGCAGCCACAUGGCGAUGGCGUCCCCCACCCCCCCCCCCCCCCCCCCGCCCAAGGGACCCGCCGGCCACGUCCGCGUGCCNNNNNNNNNNNNNNNNNNNNNNNNNNNNNNNNNNNNNNNNNNNNNNNNNNNNNNNNNNNNNNNNNNNNNNNNNNNNGCGUGGCGCGGCGCCCGAUGGAGGGGCUCGGGGAGGCCGGGCCGGCGCCGUUCGUGGCGAAGACGUACGAGAUGGUGGCGGACGCGGGCACCGACGCGGUGGUGUCGUGGUCGUGGGGGCCCGACGGGAAGGGGAGCUCCUUCGUGGUGUGGGACCCGCACGCGCUCGCCGCCGGCGUGCUCCCGCGCUUCUUCAAGCACGCCAACUUCUCCUCCUUCGUCCGCCAGCUCAACACCUACGUAAGUUAUUAUCGCCCUCCUCUCCUGCGCUCGAGGUCAUCUCCGGAUUCAGAUUGCUGUAUAUGAAUUGCUAUGCUGGCUGGCUGGUUGCCCCCGCGUGGCGUCCUUGCGGUUGCGGUGAUUUCAUUUUGAAUUUCUUUUCAAACAGCUCUUGGAUGUUCGAUUCCGGCAUAAAAUGUUGGUGUUGGUUGUGCAUACUCCCCUCUGCUGCUAACCUGUUUGUUAGUGAUCGAAUAAAUUUUAUCUGGAAGAGGAAAAAAAAGAUGAAACGGUUCCAGUUCGUUCGAAAUCGAAAUUCGUACUAUGUUUCCAUACUGAACAAGAACCAUAUCAUGUAUGAAGUAUGGAGCUGUAACUGCCCUACGUCGUAGGUUGCUCGUGUCCGCAAAUUAGCACGCGUAUACAAUUAGUUAGUCCACUCAUCCUGUUUUUGUCAAAUCGGUGAUAAUAGCAAGAGUUUCACCAGAAUUUAAAUCAUGCUUAGGUUGGUCAAGAUUAGACUUCGAAUGGUAUAGAGCCAAGCUACGCCUCUAUAUAUACUAUUUUGUUCUACCUCUAGUUUAGUUUAUUGCAUACUACUAGUAGAGAUUUUGUAUUACUGUGAAAAUGGAAAUUCUCAGCCAUGUUUUCAGUAGGAUGCUGAAUAUUCAAUCGUGAAAAUGGAAAUUCUCAGCCAUGUUUUCAGUGGGAUGCUGAAUAUUCAAUGGAACUUGUGUGAUGCAAAGUCAUGCUAAUCACUUGCAUCCAUGACCCAUCUGUACUACGGGACAAAUUGUUUUCUCUUGGUUUCAAUUUUAGCCCCUCUGUGAUGAUGCCUUUGAUUGGAUUUCAUCUGCUCCACUAUGACGGAUUUGGCAUAUGUUAUGUCUAUUCACGUUGCAACCAAGAUACUGAUCCAUAAAAUAAAGCACAUAAUAUUCCUUCUUCUGGGCAUUACAAGUGUCCAGGUAGCUCAUAUGUCGUACUCAAAUUCUUUUCCACCACUCUGAAAGACCAAAUACCUCGUGACCUGUCCAGCCUUGAACAGUUAAAAAAACUAAAGAUGAGAUGGUAGCAUGAUCUUGCUGAACUAUGCUCCCUUUUUAAAAUCUUUAUUGAUGAUGUGGAGCUCCAUGCUUUUUAGGCAUGUACCAGGACAUUUCUGAUUUCAUGAGCUACAGGACGGUUACCUUGUACUUGUUAGUACUAACUGCAUCUUUCACCGUGUUCUCAGUUCUUUGGCUGGUUGUGUUUACCAUUUUUGCUGUCCACAAUUUCUUUAUGCAGCUAUACUUGUCUAGAUGUAGAUAGACAUUUGGUAUAUUAGGCAACUACUGAAUAUAAAUCAUUAUUAGCUGAACCUUCUAGCUAGCUUCUGGGUAACGCUGGUCCUGUGGUUCAAAGGUAAAAGACAGGAGUGCAAUUACUUGUUUAAUUCUGACAGACUACAAUUAUAGACUAAUUCCUUUGUGAAUAGGCACAUACCUACCAUUGAUUUUCAAUCCCUAAAUGCUGCAGGCUUACUAGACUGAGAUUAAGUCCUUGCAGUCACUUCCGGAAAAAUUUACCAUGUCUGCCUGCUGUUGCUAUAUAGGGAUUCCGAAAGGUCAAUCCAGAUCGGUGGGAGUUUGCAAAUGAAGCCUUCUUAGCUGGUCAGAAGCAUCUGCUGAGAAACAUCAAGAGGAGGCGUGUUUCCAAGCCUCUCGUGGAUUCACAUCUAAGAAAUAAAACCAGUGUUGUUUUUGGACAGCCUGAGGCUCUUGGUGAGGUUGGCAGCUUGAAGAGAGACCGUGCAGCUCUCAGAGCUGAGGUCAUCAUGCUUAAGCAGCAGUACAACAACUGUAAAUCUCAGCUCAUUGCCAUGGAGGAGAUGGUCCAAAACAUUGAAAGAAGGCAACAGCAGACCAUCAACUUCUUUGCCAGGGUACUUACCAACCCGGUCUUCGUGCAGCAGGUUUUACUCAACUAUGUGAAGAAGAAUGGCCUAAGAGGCAGUGCAAAAAGACAACGGCUGAUGGAAAAUGAAGAACAUCAUGCUGAUUUGCCAUUGAACAAAGGUACGGAAGCUGCAUCUGCGAUGUCAGCUGAUGUUUCUGCAGGGAGCACUGGCUGCGGCACAGUUGGGAACGACGAGGUCACUCCUAAAUUCAGUGUCCAGAACAUUGACAAUAUGUGUGAUGAUGUCUGGGAAGAGCUGGAUGCCUUACCUGAAACUGGGAUGGAGCAGGAAGACAAGGCCGGGAUUUGCUUCGAUGUCGAGGAGUUCGUCGGAAGGCCUUGUGGUUGGGUUGAUGAUUGCCCAUACCUGGUAGAGCCAAUGCAGUUUGUGGAACAUUAGAGGCAUGAGAAAAUGCAAUCUACCGUUAGAAUAGUGGAGCUUGUUUAUAGAGUAUGAAUAUCUGUAUAUCAAUUACCCACUUCAGUCAACCAACUUAAGGCUGGCCCUCUCCGUACUGUCAAUAGCAUGAGCUCCUAGAACACUGAGCUCAGAUAUAGAAACAAACACUCUGGUAAUGCAAGCCAGGUGUUUGUAAAAAGUUAUAGGCGUAUUAAAGUUUUGUUAUUUGUAAAUUCUGCUAGAUGCAGCAAAUAUAUCGUGAUGUUUAUAACUUUGUAUACCGUCUGUGCAAUGUAGCUGAGAAAAUAUAUGGACUCCAGUUAUGCCAAUAUGGAUGCGUGAAUUAUAGUGUUUUUUUAAUAUGCGAAAUAUAGAGAAAAUUGCUCUUUACAUUUAUACGUGUGCUCAACUAAUCAAAUUGGCUGCGAAGUUUGCUGUCAUUGCUUUAUAUAUUUUUUUUUCAGAGCAUGGCAUUGCUUGAUAUGAUAGGAUAAAAAGGCCACCUUACUCAACCAGUUGCAGCAAAGCCCAUUAGGCCCACUAACUUAGUCGAGUUUACUUUCUGGGCUCCCUAAGGCCAUGUUCGCUUAAUCUCAAUCACACGAGGAUUCAAAGAGAUUAGGGAGGGAUUUAUUCCACACCUAUUGUGGUGUAGAAUUAUUCUCUCUAAAUCCUCUUCAAUCCCUCUCUCUUAGGGAAUAACCGAACAUAGCCUAAAAGAAAAAAAGUUCAGAGGACCCUCUAUUAGCGGUGGAUGGUGAGAAAAAAACCGAACAUUGAGUCGCACCGAACCUAAGUAGCAGUUUUUUCAGUUAUCGAUUGGAAGUUUGAUUUUUGUUUUGAUCCGGGUCGGUCUUCGGCUUAGAGAUCGGUUUAUAUUUGUUGUAAACCGAAGACACUGAACAAACAGAAGUCCUCAUGUAGGAGUUGAUUAGCUGUCUUGUCCCAAGUGAUUAUCGUAUGCAUGCGCAUAAUUUUCUUUUUCCAAGUAGUCGUGGGACCCAUUAACCGUCGUGGACCGUACGUCAUGCACGUGUGACAUGGUCAGUAGAUACGAGGCCUAUUAACGCUUUGCUCAUUGUGCCACGAAUGUAUGAGGAUUCUCCUGCUCGAUAUAAACCGAAUUGGAGAAACCGAACCGAGCAAACGAAACAACCGAACGUCCACCUGUACCUCAUAUUGUUGUCUAGUUUAAAAAAACAUGUUUGAACCACAAAAUAAAACACAUCCUUCUUCUUACAAAACCAGGUUAAUUGAGAUCCUUGGGCAGUAUUGCUCGUGGUUUUAGCACGGCAAGUUGACCAAAGUCCACUCUUUUGAGUGAAAAUAAAAGUGGUGCCCACAUUUGAGUGAAACAUUAAAUUUGAAUGACUACUACGUGGAUCUUAUGUGACACUUCAAUUAGAAAAACUUAUUAAAAAAUAUUGUUGGUCUCAUAUUUUUCAACAAAAGGGUACUUUUUAGCUGACAUCUACAUUCAACUGAAUAUAUGCAACAUUUUUAAAAUUACGAAUUUAGCCCCUCAAACAACCAAAUUUGAAAUUGGCUCCUAUGAAAAUUUGAACUCAAAACUCUUAGGUGCUACUCAGUUCACUGUAGCUACCAGAUUACAUGUCCUUUCAUGUAGGUCUUGUAUGUCAACAAAAUAUUAAACCUUCUUUCCUUCCUUACCUUCUCUACUUCCUCCUCUUCUUCUUUCACCUCAUCCUCCCCCUUUCUCUCCCUCAAGGAGAGGACAAAGGCGAGGGAGCCGAUUAGGGGUGGACAGAAAGCUCGUGGUUCGUUAGCUCGCUCGACUCGUGACAAACUCGGCUCGGCUCGACUCGACUCGUUUUAUUUUUCUAACGAGCCGAGCUAGCAUUUUAGCUCGUUAGAGAUAACGAGCCAGCUCGAGUUGGCUCGUGAGCUGCUCGCGAGCCUAACGAGCUAGACCAAAGACACAAGAUUCACCAGUGUUCAUUGAUUUCACCCUGGAAUGCAUGUGUUUAGUACUUCAUAGGUUCACCAUGUGAUUUGUUGGUUCAAACUUUAAUAUUUAAAUACAAUUUCAUAUAAUUUGCAUGUUUGAAAUAAAAAUUUGCUUAUAUAACCUAUUAAAAAAUUAUUUAGGUUAACUUUUUAUGCAUGACUCACGAGCCUAAUGAGCCAACUCGAGCUUUAUAACGAGCCGAGCCGAGCUAGGUUUUUAGCUCAUUACGAUAACGAGUCGAGCCGAGCCAGCUCAUUAUCUUAGCGAGCUGGACCGAGCCGAGCCGAGCCGAGCUGGCUCGUUAUCCAGCCCUAGAGCCGAUGAGCUCAAGCUCCGUAGGGUAGCCACACGAGGAAGGGCCUUAGAGGCAUGUCGUGUCUCUAAGAAGGUGACCAUGGUGGUUUGUGGUGGCAAAGGACUAGGGAGGCGAGGGUGCCAACGAGCUUGAGCUCCACAGGUCAGCUGAUGAGGAGAAGGUCAAGGCGAUGCGUUAGGUUUGCUUAACACAAUGGUGAGGUGGUGCCUUUAUGAACACCUAUAUCCUUCGCGACACAAGCACCAGCAGCACCCUAUCCACAACCUCCAUUAACCUUAGGCUUCCUAGGAGUACCACUGCUAUCAUCUUUUGUAGUUAUCGAGAGAGGGCACAAUGGUAAGGAAUGAGAAGGUCGUCACUAGCGCUACAAUUGCGAGUGCUUGCGUGAACAACAGGAGCACAACUUAGCCCAUUUUAAGCUUACUCCCACCAACCCCAUCUCGCUAGUCAUGCCACUGUGGUUGCCAACUUCACGAUGGUAGAGCUAGUCAUCACAUAAUCUCACAUAUCGGCACACUGCCAUACCAUUAAUGUCCUUGUCCCUUGCCAUCGAGAACACCCGAGAGAAAAAGGGAGAGAGAAGGGAAGAAUAAUAUGGGAGAGAGAGGAUGAAAUAUUGGUCCAUUUUAUUUUUGCUAUCUAAGCACUUAUUCAGCGUAAGUGCACCCGAGUCAACUUGCAAUAUCUAUGAAAACAACCGGCCAUAAUAUCAAAAAGACUUAAACUAACCCUGUUUUGCAACAUACUCUCCGUCCAAACAUAUUAAGAGACUAUUAUGUUUCACCUUAUUCUUAAAAGUAAGAUAUUUUAGGAUAAUAGUUGUCACACCUAUUGGUUCACAUUUAAAUUUCUUUUCUAUCACACCCCUCAGCUACCUUCCCAUCCCAAUAACCACUCAUUUAAUAAAUGACAUACUAGUCAUUUCUUUCUAUCCUUAAUCAAUCAUUUUUUUCCAUCCUUAAUCUUUCUAAAUACUUAAUCUUUCUAAAUAGAGAAACAUCCCUUGUAUAUUGGACAAAAGGAGCAGGGUUUUGCGGUUUAAGGAAGUUCUCCAAACUCAAUGAUGACAAGACAAGGGACCUGCAGUGGACUUCUUCCCCCAUAUAAGAAGGCUAUGUACUCUUUCUGAGCCCGUGGCCCAUCACACCCUUUGCCGCCUCUGCCUGCGAUGGGUUCUCCUCUUCCUGUCGCGCCGUCACGCCGCCGCCGACGAGCUCCCGCGGCGAGGCGAGGCGGCGCAGCGCUCGGAACCCCUAAACCCUAACCCCGGCCUGUCCAGUGGUUCCCCAGUCUUCGGUCCCUUCCGCGAUGGAGGAGCCUGCGCUCGCGCCGCCCGCGGCGCCUCCUGGCUCCCUCGCCGCCGCCCCCCCUGCCCCCGGUGUCCUCUCUCGCCGGAGAGCCCAUCUCGACAGCGCCUCCUACCGCGCGCUCUCCCGGCUCUUCUCGCACUGCCUCCACCUGCACCCUUCGCUGCGCACGGAAGGCGAGCCUGCCGCCGCCGCCGUCCCCCUCGGCGGCGCCCGCGGGGCCNNNNNNNNNNNNNNNNNNNNNNNNNNNNNNNNNNNNNNNNNNNNNNNNNNNNNNNNNNNNNNNNNNNNNNNNNNNNNNNNNNNNNNNNNNNNNNNNNNNNNNNNNNNNNNNNNNNNNNNNNNNNNNNNNNNNNNNNNNNNNNNNNNNNNNNNNNNNNNNNNNNNNNNNNNNNNNNNNNAGGGCGACCCCGCCGCCGCCGCCGUCCCCCUCGGCGACUCCGGCGGGCUCCCGCAUGGGGGUUCGCCGCCGCCGCCGCCUAAAGACGCGGGGUUCGACCCGGGUACUAAUAUAGAGGUGGAGGCGGCUCUUGGGAAACCUACGCCCCAUGAGACGCCUUUGAUGUCCGGGUUCCCGGAUGGCGCCGCGAAUUCUACCACCGAUCCGGGGGUGGUGCCGCACGGCACGCCGGAGAGUGGAGUCCAAGGGGUUGAGCGGGUGGAGAGUGUGGAAGAGUUAGUUCUAACAGGAAGUACCUCCGCGAAGGCUGGUGACGGUGGCGAGGAGUUGGGGGCUGGAGCUACACUGAUGGGGGAAGACGAUGCCUUGCGGUCGAUGCAGGCUUGCUUAGACGGCGAGGAUAAUGAAUUGGUGAAUGAAAUGAUGGGUAAUGAUGAUGAUCUGUUGCAACUCGAUGCGAUGAUGACCAAUUUUUCAGGGUUGAUUGAUGAUGCCAGUGAUGCCAAUGCCGGCAUAAGCUCAGCACCGAGCUGUGGAGUAACUGGAGGCAAGCUUCAGAGUGAUAGCAGAGUAGCUGAGGAGGUGAAAGAAUUGGGAGCUGGGAUUGGCAAUGACAGAUACCAGGUGAAAGAAUCGGGAGAUGGGAUUGGCAACGACACGUCUCUGAUCAGUUCAGACCAUGUGUCAAUAGAUGGCGGUGAUCUAGAUGGUGGUGAUUUUGAGGAAGGAGAGAUUGAGGAUGAUAUGCAAAAUUUAGAUGUAGAUGAUUCUGGCAAUUCAGAACUUGAAGAUAAAGAUGCAAAAGGUGAGGAAUUGAAAGAGGAUUUUGUUAGUAGAAAGAUGGGGGAGAAUGGAUCAUGCAGCUAUGAUGUAAGGAGUCACAAUUUGCAUUUGAUACCUCAAAAAGGAGAUGUCAACUUUGUGAUGAACACGCAAUGUAAUAGCAAGGAUGAUUCCCAAAUGCAUGGUGCCAGGGCACAAGCAGUCAGUUAUGAUGAAGUUGUGGAUUGGAAUGAGACACCUUUGCCUGAUGAUAAGGUAUUGCUGAAUGUAUAUAGCUUAUUUAUCAACCAGAAUUAAGUACAAGCAUGCCAUGUUCUUUAUUUUUUUUUGUUGCUUCAUGUUCUUUAUGCACAAGUUUGAUUAGUUUUUUUUUUCUUUUUUUGCUAGGCAGCUGUAACUUCUUGUUUGAUGUCUAAUAUUUGACUGUAUUCAGUAGCUUAUUUUUCAAUCAUGCCAUACAUGCCUUGCUUGAAGUUCUUAAACUUAGAAGAAUACAAUGCAUGCAGUUUGAUUAUGAAAAUUUACACUUCAUGCAGCAGCAUGCCUGUUUUUGUAACCUCAUCACAGUCAAUUUACAUUGCAAGAUUUUUUUUAAGAACAUGAUAUACAAUAAAUUGAUUCUUGUGUGUUAAGAUUUUCUGCUUAGCUACAUAAAUAUGGAUUUUCAGUCUGUUCUAUAUCAAUAUUUCAGGCUCCCAAACAUGGGAACAAGAGAAAGCGCCUGUUGACAGAGGAGAGAAAAGCUAAAAAGACGGUAUGUUCUGAUCUCAGUACCAUUUGAGUUCAAUCUAUUUGUUGAACUGGGUAUUCGAAUUGUUUUUACCUUUGGAAGUAUUAAGAUUGCUUUCAAUGCUAUUGGUAUGCAGAAAAAUAAACGAAUUAAAAGAGCACUGCAACGGGAAGCUGAAGGUGUGAAAAGACUGAAACUUCAACCAGUUAUAAAGCCUAAGGUGGUGCAGGAUUGCCGCUUCUACUUGCUUGGGAAGUGCCAGCAGGUGAGUUUAUUGGCCAUUUAACCUGUUUCUCAGUUUGGACAGAUUUAGUCAUCUUCUGCUUCUCUUUUGUAUCAACAAGAAUUAAUACUCUUUGUUGUUGUGAACUUCACAGAACAUGCCCUUGCCUUGAAACAUGUUGUAGCAGUUUUCUGGACACACUAGUUGUAUUUAUAUAAUUUAGUAAUGAGCGAUAUCUAUUGCAUAAGAUGCAUAUUUUAUAUUCAAUGUGCACUAGGUAGUACCUGGUGAUGACUAGCCCUGCCUAGGUCUGUAUAUUUGCUGCAUUGGUGUGCUGCCUGAGAGCCUAGCACAUGAAGGCAGUUUAUAUAAUCAUAUUGUUUCCACAAUGUAAUCUGUCCGUUUUAUUAUUUUUUAGAUGUGCUAUAUAUAAAAUUAUAAAUAUGUUGCAAAGUAUCGGUAAACAAUUUUUCACAGGAUUCACUUUACUAAAUAACUAAUUUUCUUCAUUUAUUGCAGGGAAAUAUGUGCAAGUUCUCCCACGAUACGACACCUUUGACAAAAUCCAAGGUAUCCAUUUCAUAGAAAUUCAUCGUAUGCUUGCAGUACUCAUAGUGUAUUACAAUAAGAUCUGUGUAUUCUGUUGAACAUAUGUGUGUAUUCUAUAUGGUCCUCCCACACACAGGCAUGAGCACAUUUCGUACACACCAAUGCUUACCACCUAUUUUGUUAGAUGAAAAUGUGCCAUCAACAUUAAUUUGAACCAUGCAAAGAACAGGUCCACCCUGCACAUAUUAUGAAUACUUAUCUAUCUAUACUCUAAAAAAUGACUCAAGUGGUGGUGUGAGUGGUAAAUCUGCCACCACCCACCAAAUGACAUGUGGGGCCACGAAGUUGGUCAAUAUUCAACACCUUGGAGUGGAGAAAACAAUAUUCAGUACCUCCUUACAGCACAUGGGUAUUUAGCUAGUACUGUACUGAAUCAUAAACCUCCUUGCAGCCCAUGGGUAUUUAGCUAGUAUAGUACUAAAUCAUAAACUAAAGUGUACCCAAAUCUUGAUCCAAGUAUUGGUAGGGAACUUCUUGUUGUACCUACCUUAGUUUUUGAGGGUUUGCAAAACUUAUUCUAAUAGUUCUUUUUUUUCUCUUGGCAGCCCUGUACGCAUUUUGCACGCGGAUCUUGUUUGAAAGGAGAUGAUUGUCCUUAUGAUCAUGAGUUGUCAAAGUACCCUUGCCACAAUUUUAUAGAAAAUGGAAUGUGCAUCAGAGGUGAUAAAUGCAAAUUUUCUCAUGUGGUACGUAAUUUGACAAAUUAUUCUCUUAUUUAAUUACAGGUGUUAUAGCCUGAUAGAAUUUAAAUAUUAACAAAUUCUGUGAAUUAAGCAUACUGUGCAAUUGUUGUCAGAUAACUACUGCAGAAGGUCCCUUAACACCAGAUGCAAAGAAAUCUAAUGCGUCAUCAGUGCCUGAAAAAGUAAACUACCGAGACCAAACAAGUAGUCAGAAAACUUCGACAGUGUACAGUGGUGAACCUUCUGCUCCUACCGAACAUCGUUCCAUCCUUAAAAAUCUUGCUGGCAUCUCAGGAAAUGCUCAAAAGGCACCUGGUCGUAUCCCAAAGGGUAUACAGUUUCUUCAUUUCAAUAAAGCCAGUUCAGAUUCUCACAUUCUGUAUCAGGAUGUUCUGUCCACUGAGAAGCAUAAGAAUCCAAUUGGUGGUCAACAUCAGAACUUUGGAAAACCUCUACCUGCAGAAGGAGAAAAAAUUGCCAAGCACAAUGGACUUAGAUCAGCUCCCCUGUUGGAUGAGAACAGCUCAUCAAAACAAGCUAAUCUACAUGCGUGUUCAGAGCCAAAGAAAAAUAGUUUGCCUACCACUGCUUCAGUGCCCAGCUUAGCAAGCACUGAGAAUGAAGUUUCAGAGGCGUCUAGGAUUUUGCAGGAAUUCUUGUUCAGUCCUGGCAAAUAGAGUGAAGUAUGAAACUACUACUAUACCUUUGAUACCCUGUAGACUACACAUGUGCAUUGGUAGUUCAAUAAAUGUUCCUUUGAUUUUGCAGCAUACUUGGAUGAUGUUCAGUGAUGAACCUAGGCCCAUGAGAUUAUGCAGCAUUUUUUGAUAUUCUGCGCACCAGUUUUAUUGUUGUAACUGCAUCUUGCAACUGCUGUUUUGAUAGGUAGGAAAAAGAACAGCAUUGCUGUGAUGUUUUAUCGUGCUUUAGUUACCAAGAAAGUUCAUUCUGGACUUAUUUUGCAGAAUUUGGGACAAAGAUUUACUGUCAGAUUUUGAAGAUUAGCUGCUGUCAAAUGAAUGUACCUCAGUUCAAUCCACAGGUUAGUUCCAUUGAGUGGAUGGUUCUGAGUUGUAGGCUUAAUGUUGCAGUAAAUAUGCCCCUUGAGUCAGUAAUCUGUAAUUUCAUGAAAAAGUUGAUAUGAUUCUUUUCUUCUUGCUUUUGGCGUAGCAGGCCUCCCUUUGGGAGGCCCACAAGCUAUUAGCUCCAUGGUAAAGCGCGUCCUGGAUAAUUGGGUCAUUGUUCCUGGGCUGAGAGCCCAUGAGACACUUUGUAAGUUGUUCUGGGUUAAUUAAAGAAAUGUUUAUCAUUAAUUGCUCCCUCUCAUUGCUGAUAUACAGAUAUAUAUUAUGUCAGUACUACUCUGUUACUCAAUUAUUGCUUUUUUUUUUCCUAAAAGAUGAUUGAUAACACUGAUGGUUUUAACUUCUCAUUCUUAGCUGUUAGGAAUUCUAGGACACUAUAACAUUCAUAUUUUUCCACCUGUAACAUUCAUACAGAUAUACAAAUCUAGGAUGCUACAGACUUAAAGAACUACAAUACUUCAAGUUGCAUGCAUACAGUAUAGCAAAAACCAUAGUUUUUUUGGCAACUGCAGUAUUUACCUCAGUUUUGUAUUUAAAGAAAAAGGUUGUCUGUCUAGUUUGUCAUUGUAAAGGAAAUUCAGACAUGUUGGGUGCAUGGAACUAGCACGUCGGUACAGGAAGCAUCGAUGUGUACUGACACAUGCCUAGAUUUUAUACAUGCUAAAAAUCAUUUGUAAUUCAAUCUGUAAACUUAGAUUUACUCACAUAUAAGAGAUAUACUUAAAACCACCUUACAGACAAGAGUAUAAUACCCCAAGACUUUCUGAUAUUCAAAAUUGCUGUGGAGUUGCUUCACUUUCCUUUUUUUAAAGGAGUUCAGGAGUGGAAAACACUAAUGGCAUUGAGAAAACUAUUUGUUGUUCUCAAACUCCUUAGAGUAUUUGAUACUAUAGUACAUUUUGUAAACCACAAUACCCUGAAAAAACUGCAAACUAUUGCAUUCUCAGAAUUUUUUUUUUCUUUCAGUCUUAUAUGGUUAAUUAGCAUUGUAGGUCCUGUUUUUUACCUAGGUUAACUAACCCAGAUUCUCUUAUUUUUGGCACGUAUGCUUCCCAAACUGCUAAACGGUAUGUAUUUUGCGAAAAUUUUAUAUAAGAAAGUUGAUUUAAAAAAUCAUAUCAAUCUACUUUUCAAGUUUUUUUAUAGCUAAUAAUGAAUUAAUCAUAUGCUAGUCCACUGCUACGUUUUGCGUGCUGGUUACUUACCCCACAGAAGAACACGGCCUACCUGUGCAUUGCAAUGGAUGGCAAAUUUAUAUUUUAUUUAACUUUAUAAGUUCACAAUAUAGAGAAUAACCCUCAUAAAAAUAUAUGGUACAUGAUCACAUGCAAAAGUAAAGAGUUUUUUUUCUUUUUUUUUUUUUAAAAAAAGAAGAUACGCAAAUGGCACAUGGUGCACAUGUCUGCAUGUAUAUAUCCACAGAAGAUUAUUCAAGAGUGGGUGGGUGUAGGAAUAUACCGUCAUCACAAUUUCUGUAAGAAGAGUAAUGACAUUACCUCUUCUCAUGACGGCACAAGUAGCUUCAUCGUGAUAGAACUUGAACCUUUUAGAACAUUGAUUAUAAUUCUUUCCCAUCUCGUUUCCGCUUCUCUGUUUUUACUUGUGCACAUACUGGUGUUUUCUUUGUUAAUAUUUACUUAUGAGUGUCUAUGAAUUAUGAUGGUAGUAACAACUGUUUAUUUUGUGUGCAUGUGCAUUUGUCUGUCUUUGUGGAGUGCAGUUUUGGAGGUUUAUGAGAUUUUGGUGGACUAGUUUGUUGCUUGUUCGUCUACGAAAUAGUCAACUACUUAAUCUUCUUUUACAGAGUUUAAGUAUGUUUCUUCAAUAAAGGUGAAUAUUGAAUACAACCUAGUUACCAUAAAAUAAGAGAUCAAAUUUACAAUUGUUUCAUCAUAAAUUUUGGACUAAAUGCAUAAUCAGAAAGUUAAAAACUUUGAAGCGUGCUCUUUCAUUAAAUAUGCAUUCAAAUACCCUGUACACGUAAACUACAUGCUUAUGAGUUGCACAGUUUACUUCCUGUGGAAAUAUUGAACUAGAUCUUUGUUGUAAUUAUUCCCUGUGAUAAUUGAGUGUUGAACUUAUCUGCAGAUUUGGAAUUGAAAAUUUGAUGUUUAUCUCUCUAUUUUAGGGCCAUGGAAUUCCUAAACACCAUUUAUGACUAAGUAAAGCAAAUGAGAAUGGAGAUUUGAUGUGUCAUUCAUAUCUGUACAAGGGCUACUUUUUUGAGGUACCUCUGUUGUCAGGUGUAUUCAUUACGGCACACAUUUCUUUCUGUUGGGCUGUCUAUUGCUAGAUGCAUCCACACGAACAUGCACAUUGUACAAAGCAAUUUCUCCAGCUGCUUUUCUAUCAAGCAUCUGCUGUGCUUAUCAUUAGUAGGAAAAAAAAAGAGGAAGAUUAACCUAUCAAUCUCUCUUUUUAUCGGGCAUUCAGGGCAUCAAGUUUUUUGAGCCAAAAGCUUUACUUCAUUGCCAUGUGACGAUGGCAGCUAGAAGAUUGCCGUUUUAGUCGUCGAACAACAUGAUUUUGGGUUACAAGUGUGCCAGAACCAUGGGUCCUUCACAGGACACCAGCGUCAGCCUGGUUGUUCAAGCUUACAUGCACGUAGCGCUCUGGAAUCUGGAUUUCCGUCCUAUCUCUUGGUUCAGAAUUGCUCGUGAAAAACUGAAGACUAUCUUUGGUGCCGUGGGUCACAUGUGCAGAAGAUAAGGCCCCAGGUAUGAGCUGGAACGUGUGAUUGUUGUUUGCUACUACAUCGCAAGCUUUGCUUGGAUCUGUCCCUGCCUACCUAGCUGCUGUCAAAAUCUCCGGCUGGUGUUGUUGCAUCGGUUCAGAAUUACGCUUCACAUGAUCCCCUGGGAGGGCUCACAUGGCGUUUCAUCACUUGGUGCCUUCCAUACAAAGGAAUCACCUGAACUACAUGUCCCUCUCCACUGCUGCCAUCACAUGCCCAAGUGACAGUGACUGUCUAUCUCACUAAACAGUCCAUCUUUUACUCAUGUAAUGGCCCUACCUCCUGGAAAUGAAUCGUUCUUAGCAAAUAUUCUCGUUGUAUCAACGGCCCAUUUAUUAGAAGUGCAUUAGUUAAGAUGGAACUGUCAUUUUUUUUUUGCAGGUUACUUUUACCACGUAUGUGAGCCGUGCCUGCGUUGUUGGUUUGUUAUCUCGGUGGUCAGUUACUGGAAUAUUUGUGUCACUGGUGAAAGCAACUGACUAGAAAAGACCUGAACGACCUGUAUGCGUUGGAGAUGGAUAAGUUCCAUGGCAUGUCAACUCAGGUGAAAACGGAAGCCCCAAAGGAGUGGACGGUAGCUACUUGGUCGCUUUCCUUGGUAUUAUGAUUGUGUCUGCGUUGGAGAUAAAGGAAUUCCUUUUCUGUUUUUUUUCCCUUUUUUCUGAACUUGAGGGGAUGUUAAGCUUAAGUAUUUAUUUACUUGGCCCAAACUAUAGAGCUAGGUUGAAUAGAAAAAUGAUGAUUAAAUUUUACAAAACCAUGCUUGCUACGAGAGGCGGAGCUCCAACAAAAUGAUGAGAAGUGCUACUUAUUUGUAUUUUUUCUUUCAGUUGAGUCCAGGUUGUGGGUAACUGAGUUUGGAUUGAGUGUGGUGUAUAUAUGAUAAAAAUAGAUAAACUUUAGCUAAAUUUUUUUUUUUUUGGACCGGGCCCCUAGGAACCCCCACCUAACGCAGCUCUGUCCUGGUGUUCUACGAUUGAACUUUUGUAAAACUAUGUAUUUCAGAAUUAAGACCGUAUCACAAAUCAUAAAACUAUAUAGAUCUAAUAUGAAAGUUAUUAUUAUAAAGCUACUUACUAUGUUCCAAUAUAUAGGUUAUUUAGCAUUCAAAAUUUGUUUAUGAAUAUAACUAAUGUACCUACCAUCUCUUCUCAACCAUUUAAUUUCUCUAUUUAGGACGUUUUAAGGACGAUGUUUAACUAUAUGUUUAGUAAUUAAAGUUAUCAUAACGCUAUAGAGUUCAAAUUGCUAGUACUAAUGUAUCGUUGGAGUUACAGAAGAUGCAACUUUGUAAUAAAUUUAUUCAUAAGUUUGUGAUACUAUAUCAUUUAAACUUUGUAGUUUUAUGAUAAAUCUACUGUCGAAAUUGUAAUAUUGUGAUAUUAGCAUCUUUAAAAAUAUAUAGUUUAAUGACAAUUUGUUCAAAUUAUCUAUAGUUCUGUAAAAUUUACUCUUCCUUUUUUUCCUACUCAAUCUAGUUUUAUGAAAUUUACUCAAAAAAAAAAGAAUGUGAAGAUACUAUACCUAUCUAAGUGAUUUAUUUAUUAGGCAAAGAAAUAUCUUUUUUCCCGAUUAGAUGGAAGACAAGCACACGCAUAUCUGUGAGUCUCUCUACAUAUGCUCACAGAAAUAGAAGCCAAUGCUAAAUUUUUAACCUCACUAAAUUCUGACAAAAUGUGUAUCAUGUGCUUAAUAUUUGUGGGUAUCUAUCGAGGAAAAAGAACAGAUGUUACACGUUUUUUAUGCGUCAUACACUAGAUAAUUUUCUUCAUGGUAUGUAGUGGACAGCAAAUGUAAAUGGCAGAACAUGAAUAAGUAAAAAAAGAAAGAAUCCGACAUUAACCCAAAGAAAAACAAGAUGAGUUAAAAUGAAUAAAGAGGAACCUAUUAUAUAUAAUCCACUCCUCCGGCAUCAGCAGGUCACAAUGGCGAACAGCAAGUCAGCAAUGCAUUUUUUUUCUCUUUCUGUUUUUUUUCUCCAUUGUCAUGCUGCUGGUCAGUAAUUGCAAUUCUGCUUUGCUCUCGACAAAAUAUGCAACACUGACAACUGAAUUCAUAUCACUGGACAAAGGAAAAUAAUAUCUCCACUCUGUAGCUCACAUGCAAGUUUGCUACAAAAACAGUUUUUGACAUCAAGAAAUCUGCUUCACACAAUAAAUCCUUUGGCUCCUUCCAAGAUUGCAGCUAGUGCGUGGCAGGUUACCCUUUUGUCAUCUUAGGCAGCAGUGCCAGAGAAGAUUUCUGCUGUUUUUGUUCAGUCAACGGUUGACUCAUUUAAUCAGACCAACAAUACAGGUAGGAAGAUCAUGGCAAAAGCUCUGCCUGUCCUAGUUCUUUUGGAAAAGGACUCAUGAAGUCACUCCUGCCUUUGCUCACCGUUUCUAUUCAUGAUGAAUCUCUAGCUCAACUUCCUUCUGGUUUUGUCCCUCUUCAGCAUCAUGACACUAGACACUUUCAGCUUUCUAGCUCUGUUAUGAAUUGUCAUUUCUCUACACAAGAGAACAUGAUAGGAAAAAAAAUAUGAUAUGAGUCCAAAGAAAUGAAAAAGGCUAGGAACAAUGAACUUGCGUCCUUCUUCCUGCCUAUAAAUUGUUUCAUAUGACAUGAGUUGUCUGCUGAGUGCUGACCUGAACUUUGGGACAUUAUCUAGUACAAGUUUUGGACCUAACUACUUAUCAGAAAAUUCCAGAGUCCAUUUAUGUCUUGAUCAGUUCAGCUUCGACAACGAUGAUAUGUGCAAAAUUUUCUCUCUUGUUGACCCUUUUCGCUGACCUGUUUUUGUCGCAUGGGACCAAACUGAGUAUUCAGAAUGUUUUCAUGCUAUGUUUUUUUCAAAAGAAAGUGAAUUUGACUGCGCCUACAUUCGUUGAUCGGGCGAUCACUAUCUGACACCGUUUUAUUUCUUGUCUUUCUCACUAGCACUGCACUUGUAUUAAUCCUCCACAGGGGCAACUCAGGCUGGCUGACAAACACAGAUCUACUGCGACAUUUGCUUCAUCAAACUGGCAGCGUUCCUCAGCAAACAGGAACUCCUGAAUCCGUUCAGUUCAUGUCUGAAGUCCAAGGCCUCUGCAUUCAGCUGCUACAGUCUUCCUGGGGCAAGUCUGCUCCUGUUAAAUUUCUAAUAGGAUACUUCCUGUAUGUACGGUGUACAGUUUACCCCACUGUUGUUUGACUGUGGUUAAUUCAUUAGGUCAUUCUGUUCUAUAUGAUUGAACUAAUGCCCAUAGGAAGAACAGUGAGGUAGAACCGGGGGACGAUUGCAAAGAAAAAAUCUUUAUAGUUACAUGCCUUUUUCAAGCCUUGUCACUCAGUAAUAAGAAACUUUUAAUGCCAAAUUUCAGGUAUUUACAUGUCCAGAUCAAAUCUGGGAUUAACUAUUCUAGAUUUGUAGUAUGCGUAUUUAUUUACAUGUCCAAAUCAGAGGCUUUGACCAUUCAUGUCUUUAUUUUCUCCCAGAUUAUCAUGAAGGAAAUCUAUGAGCAACAGCUAGCAGCUUAUAUUAUUCAGACUUGUCCCUGGCUAGUCAUUUGGGGCAGGAGGGUUUAGGAAAUUAUGGGUUUUCAAAACCUCUGGAGAUUGGCCAAUUAAUUGUCAGUGCCAUCUAGAUCAUAUUGUACUGCACAUCUCUUUCUUGGAGCUGUACUGGUGACAGAGCAAUGGCAUCAUCAGUAUAUCCUACCAAACCACAAUUUUGUUUGGACAAAUGUGCAGCUAAGGUUGCUGUCACCACCCUACAUUCUCAGUUAGAAACGGAAGUGCCAAAGCAUCCAAGAGCACCUACAACUUGGCGACAACGACGAAUUCGAUUAUCUGUGAAGCCUUGAUCAGUGGCUUGUCCCCAUUGUUUGCCACAAAAUCCAAACAAGCAAAGAAAGCAGCUGUGCUUGUUUUUCUCAUCAAGGUGUGUCAUGCAUAUCCUAAAUAUCCUUUUCCUGGUCCUAUCAUCUUCCUCUAUCCAUCAUCUCUUGUACUAACAAACUAACCAUAUUCAUAAAUUUCUUGUGUUCUUGUUUCGACGACGACGACGACGACGAUGAGUACACGGUCAUGAUUCCAUUGGUCAGGAGAGCAUGCAAAUUGCAAUUUGUGGAUCAGAAGAUCCUGCUUUCCAUGGCCCCUGUUGCUUAAACUCGAGUUUUCUUCUCCAUAUUAUUGUGUUCCUACUCCCAGAUUCAAAAACUGCGACUGCAAGAGGGGGGGAAACAUGUCCUUGUCCUGAUGCAGACUUGCUUAUAUUCUGGCUCAUAAUUCGCUCCUUGACCCGGUUUUUAAAAUCAUACGUGAACUGGAAUUUCUAGCGGAUUGAUAAUUUUGAUAUCGAUAUGUGUUGGAAAAGGAAGGAAAAGGAGAUGCCAUUCUCUGGAGAAAAUUUUGGCAGUCUGAAUGAAUGAAUGAUUGCUUAGUAAAUAUAGCAUUUUUUCUAUCCUUAAGAAGAUACUAUGAGAUAGCACUGCUGUCUAUAUAAAAUUUGAUAUCUUCUAGUAUCUAAGGUGCCAAGAGGUAUCAAAUUUUACGUAGAAGGUACUCCUGUUAUCUUUGUAAGGAUGAUAAAAUUAUUCUAGUAAAUACACAAUUUCUUGCACUCGUGUGUGAUGGAUGGCUCUGGCUCGCUAACACUUUGGCUGGUGUUGUUUGACUUGAUUCAGAGCAAAGCACCCAGGCCAAGUGCGCCAAUUAUCUGCUAAUGAUUGGUGUUCAUGUGUGCCUCUCUUUUUGGCCAUCUUGUAGCAGUAGCCUGAGAAAAGUUUGCAUCUGAUCUUCUUUGGAUGCUUAAAAGAAUGGCAGCUUUGCAAACCAUCUGAAUGAUGAUCUGCUGCAGAUAAAAAAAAUUAAAGGGUUGGAUGGAUCAACAAGUCAUGUGUUGGAUGAGUGCUUUUCUAGCUAGCCCAAAAGGACCAAAGCAAAAGACAGGCAGUGUGUGUAUGCAAAUGUGCAUGUGCAUGUGCUGCUGAUCAAAAGGUGAAAUUGGGAUUUGGGAGUGUUCCAUUGCUUUAGGAAGUAACACUUUUUUUUUAAAAAAAGAAAAUAUUUCACAAAAAGGAAUGAGAUUUAGCCUUGUGUUAAACAAAACUCUGACAAGACAUCAUGUGAAGGACGAGUGAUCAAAGCUAGACUGGUAUCAGUUUUAUGGCACAAACUUCAAGAUUAAAACCUAGGAGUACUGGCUCAGUACGAUGCAACAGAGUUCUUUGUCACACCGUUUACAGCGGGAUAGAAAAAUCCAUUCUUUUCAUACUGCUCUCUCGGUCUUCGGUUACUUGUCACAGUUAAUCAUUACGAUUUCAACCUUUACCAUUAAUAACAAUUAAACAAUCAAUCGAUAUUAAAAAUGGUACUGCUGUAUAUUUAUACAUCAUACAUCACAUAUAUAACAUAUUUUUCGAUAUACACAAUAUUUUUCCUAAAAAGACGAAUGGUUAAAGUCCCAAAUAAAUAGUAACUGGUGUCAAUUGUUUGAAACCAGAGGGAGUACUUAUUUUUGACAUCAACAUGGUUUUCUCUUACUAUAUGUUUAUAAAACUAUUAAAAAUAUAACCAUAUGAAAGUAUUUUUUAACAAUAUACCAAUAUCAUUUUAUCAUGUCAAUCAUAGUAAUUUUAAUUAAAUAAUUAUUUAAGGUUUGAAUGCACCUAUUCUAGUUAUACAUCAUACAUCACACAUAUAACAUAUUUUUUGAUAUACACAAUAUUUUUCCUAAAAAGACGAAUGGUUAAAGUCCCAAAUAAAGAGUAAAUAGUAACUGGUGUCAAUUGUUCGAAUCCACAGGGAGUACUUAUUUUUGAUGUCAACAUGGUUUUCCCUUACUGUAUGUUUAUAAAACUAUUAAAAAUAUAACCAUAUGAAAGUAUUUUUCUAACUAUACCAAUACCAUUUUAUCAUGUCAAUCAUAGUAAUUUUAAUUAAAUAAUUAUUUAAGGUUUGAAUGCACUUAUUCUAGUAGCACAUAUAUUUCAAGAACAAAAUACUCCCUCAAUCCCAUAAUAUAAUGCAUAACUUUUUUUUCUCUGUCUCAUAAUAUAAGACGUGCAUAAAUAAUUAUUUAAGGUUUUUUAGGCGUAACCUAUUUAAGGUUUGAAUGCACAUAGUCUAGUACGACAUAUAUUUUAAGAACAAAGAUGGUAAUAUAUUUUUGGAUAACUUGACUACUUGAUUACGUAAGAAAGCUGAAUUUACAAGGGGAAAAUGACAUAUCAGACACUGUUCACAAGUCAAAUGACAUCCCAGCAUUGAAACUACUUAAUGUUUGGAGGGAAGAUCACAUGUCUGGAUCUUGAUAAACGAGGGUUUAUAGCUCGGUCGGGCAUAAACUCAGAGCAUUCCCGAUAGAUCAUCUAAAUUUAGUCAUCUAUAUCUUUAUUUGGAUGAUCAUUUAAAACAGUUUUAUCCUCUAUAUCUCUUUGUACCCCAGCAAAUCAUUCAUAUAUGAUAUUUUCCAUAUUUAUUUUAAGGAUAGAGAUAACGUCUAAAUAUAGAGUUUCUAUCUCCAAAUAUGGAUGACAUCUUAAAAAUAGAAGAUGAGAUAUAUAUUCUAAUGGAGCUCGAUCUUUAUUUUUCAUACUCUAUUUUUAGGAUAGAGAAUGAGACAGAUGAACUGUUGGGAAUGCUCUUAGACAACUAGGGUUUUGUCAUGGAGGUGUUUAUCACGUCAUAUGUCCAAUCACAUCACAAAAUAUGUCGCACAACAGGCAAAUAUAUAUAUAUAUAUAUAUAUAUAUAUAUAUAUAUNNNNNNNNNNNNNNNNNNNNNNNNNNNNNNNNNNNNNNNNNNNNNNNNNNNNNNNNNNNNNNNNNNNNNNNNNNNNNNNNNNNNNNNNNNNNNNNNNNNNNNNNNNNNNNNNNNNNUAUAUAUAUAUAUAUAUAUUGGAGGUGACAUAUCUCAUCAAUAUGAAUACUAGAAUAUAUCAAUAUAUCACGUCUAGUGCUAGAUUUUUUAUUGGACGGAAUAAGUAACUAGCUGUGAGACACCACAAACUGUGAGACACCACAAAGAUAUGAGUUAACUUUAGAGUAGUUACAACACAUGUAAUUUGUGUUUUAAAAUAUAUCCUCUAGUCAGUUUAUCUUUUUACGGUGUCCUAAUUACACAUAUUUUUUUUUGUCAUGUAGCAAAAUUUUCCUACGUUGUACCUUUUUUUCUUUGCAUGCCAAUGAAAACUUAAAAACAAACUAGAAAUUAAUGGUUUCGAAAGACCGACGAGUAUAUCCCCACAGUUAACAGACGGCCCCACCUGUCAGCCACACCCGAUCGGGGGGCCGCCGGCGUGCGCGUAGCAUUUAGGGCGAUGGAUCACGAGGAUGAGGUGGCACAUGGCAUGUCCGUGUCCCCUCUUGACGCUUGUCCGGAUGCCCAUCAGGGGAAUAAAAAUACUGCAGGGACGCAGACAGCGACCACACCACCUCAAUCUGCUAACUAUUAGUAUUAUUAUUAUCAAUUAUUAGCGAUUAAUUACCACUCGUUUAGUUUAAACCCUGCUCGCUCUCGAGUGGCCCCGCUCGUUAAGCAGAUCGCCCUAAUCUAUCACCAUUGGUUGAGCUUAAUUUACAGAUUAUAGUUUUUUCUUCUUUCUUUCGGUGUGUGUGUGGCUGGAUCCUGUUUAUGUUAUCGCGAUGACGCGUGGGCCCCACGUGGCAUCCUGUGUGACGGGUGCAUGGACGGACGGACGCUACCGGCCGGCGACAUGAUAGCUCCAAAAAGUUUAAUUCCUAAUCUAAUCCUGCCCUACUUUGCCUGAUUGAUCAAGCAGCAUUAUGAUAUGAUAAUCUGGAUUAAGGCCCUAUUUUGAUUCAUCUUAGAAUUAUUAUAAUCUGUUUUAUUAGGAGUAAGCUGAAAUAAACUGAUAAAUUAUUAUAACAUAUUAUUAUACUCUAGAGCUCGCAUUACUAUAGCUUGGUAAGCCCAUCCAAAAGUGUUUAUUCUAUAUUAUUUGGUCACUUUAGAUCCACUACCCCUUAGAUAAAACCCACUUUUUUUUUCUGUUUUAGCUCAUAAUAAUCCAGCUUACAGUAAUAUGACUUAAUAAUCUCAAUUACGAUAAUCUCUAACUAAAACAAACAUGAUCUAAUUUUUUUCAAAACACAAAAGACACUCAUAACAUACCUACAUCCACCCCAAUAAACACACAUACACCCAUAUCCUACACCUCUAAAAUUUGGCUGACAUAUAUUGAGUUUGACAAAAGUCACCUUGAAUAUCUCAAGAUACGUUUUGUCUGAUAUAAAUUAACCGUAAAUACGAACAACGGUGUUUGUCUGAGGGUAGUUUUUAGCAUUAAACUUCCGACGAAUCUUUUGCUUUUCCCCCUUAAUUAACUGACUACAGGGGGGUUUGGAAGCCACGCAAAGCUAAUAAGCUUAAUUGGCGUACCUACACGUAUGUUCGUUGUAGGUGUGGACGGUAUUUUUAUAUUUUGUGUUUUAUUUUAUUCUAUUUUAUUUUACUCUGAGAUAAAAUUAGUGUAAUAGAAAUGCACACUGCUGUCAAGUGGAUGGAAUCCUAUGUGACAUUUCAAAGAAACAAACAAGCGGAAAAUUUUACAGUUUUUAUUUAAAUAUAUAUCAGGUUUGUUGCUUUGCAACUUCCCCUUUUAUUUAGCACAAGUUGUGCACAAUACAUUCUUUAAUAUUUUGGUUUGAAUACAGACACGGACUUUGGGGUGAAGAUCAAGGCAUGUAUUAUUGUUUUUCACAGCUCUCGGACAAUGAAAGCUGGCAUCUAAUUUUUUUUUACAACAACAAUUAUAUUAAUUAAUUUGAAUAAAUCUGAUCCAUGAAGCUAAGUUUAUUUUUCUGUUAAUGCAAAGAGUGACCAUAAUACUGCUCUGUGCCCCGGCCAUCAGUUCUCCUAUAAGUCAUUCUUAAUUAGUUCGUCCCUCUUUGCUUUCUCGUAAUGGAUGAUUGUUGAUACGGAGAGGUUAAAGCUUGUUUUUAACAUUAAAAAUAUCUAAAUGUCAUAAUUCAUAUUGUUUUAAAUAUCUAUCUAAUGGGUUAUUAAUGUAUAUAAAAAGAAACGUUUUUUUAGAACACGACAAAAUCUGACUGAAGCUUCUUGUCCCUUCAAAUUUCAGGCCUCGUUUAUUAAUAUAGCUAGGGAAAUUUUGAUUCAAUUGUUUUCUACAAAAUUGUCGAUGCACAUAGGAAUGAAAUAGGUGAGAAAUCAUUUUCUUAAUCAUGUUAUUUUCUCAAAAACAAAAGGAUAAACGUAGAGCCAAAAAUAGAAACUAUAUAUGAAAUAUCAGAAAAAAAAAAGUGGAGCAACUAUACUGACCGACAGACGGAAACAUGGCAGUAUCAACUAGCUAGAAACCAAUAACGAAAGCAAGAAACAUUGAUAUGUAAAAUCACGUUUUAACUUAAGAUAACUAUAUAAUACCACCAAAUAAAUUUAAGCUUACAAUUAUCUAUUAUUUAGUCAUCUAUCCAAAUCAGGGUUAAAAAUCCCUAAACUACAGGUCAAAAAGAAAUAUGGACGAUAGAUUUUAGGGUAUUUAGAAAUACUCCCGGUAUCAUAUUAUUUAUAAAGAAAGGGUAAUUUUCACGGAAAUAUGACAAAACAAGAAAACCGUCGACAAAAUAGUUUCUGGUUUUAUUUUUAUUAUAAUUUUUUAUCGUUCAAAUGGUUUGGUCAAUUAAUACAACAUUAGAAAUGAGCCUAGCUCGGUCGAUCGAGAAUAUCCACACCGUUUUCUCCCCUUAGGUUCACUAGCUGGGAGUCAGCUAUGCGAAGCUGAUCAUCCGAACUCAGAAAAGAAUGGCCAGGGAAUUAUGGAAGAAAAAAAAGACCUUCUUGGAAUACAAACGAGUAGUACACAUUUCCUUUUAGCAAAAAAAUGCUGCAAUUCUCCACUCGGUGCACAUACGUAUACGUACUGUAGACCCAUGUAGCCUGUUUGCUCCUGUCAAGAUUCCCCCAUCUACACAUAAUUAAAUGCUCCCCACCAUAUCUCAAAAAAAUAAAAAAAAGAAAAGAAUGGAAAAAAAUACGCAGCAGUAUAUAUAUACACUGUUCUAUGGCGCAGGUUGCAUCACAUAACUGGACUGGGCACCCCCAAAACAGUAGCAUGCAACAACAUGCAUAAAAAAGAGAGCUUAGCUUGGUAAAAAGGCAAAAAUAAAUAAAUAAAUAAACAAAACUUUCCUUCAGGUGAAAAAACUAGUAAGCUGACAUUGUGGGGCCCACCCUCUCCUCACAUUCUGCACCGUGGGUGAUCUCCAUAUAUGGUGACCCCACCACAGAUACCUAAAAUUAAAAGAUUAUAUUUAGCCUUAAGAUGCCCCAAAUUAAAAGAUUAUAUAAUCAGAUGCCUGUGCAUGAAUCUUUUGGUGGUCUCUAGGGGAUCAAAUCAUCUGAUCACAAGGCAUGCUGAAAAUUUUUAAGGAGAAGUCAUUUAUGCAUGGGAUCACUACAAACUUUCAGAUUGUACUACUCCACUGUAGUACAAGCUAGUGCUAGCGCUGUCCACAAAUCCACAUGAUUAGUAUUAGUAGUACCCUUGCUCCUAAAGCUAUUUUAUUGAGAAUGACUAAUAAUAUAGUCAAUAAGCUGGCUAUAAAACAUCUUAUAGUCUUCUUAUAGCUCACUCAUAUAAUGGUUAGCUCAUCAUCUUUAAUGUAGAACCCACAUGUCUCUCUCACAUGGUGUCUUGGUUCUUGUGCCUAAGCUAGCUAUAAGCUUAUAGCUAGCUUCUCCUCUCUCUUCUCCCUUCUCUCUUCCACAUCAGCAUUUAGUUGGCUUAUAGCCUACUAUUAUACUUGCUCUUAAAGCUUAAUAAGGGCACAUUUGGGGAGUUUCUGCCAUGCAGCUUCUUGUACAAUCUUCAAUACUCUAAACAAUCCAAAUUCUAACUUAAAUUCUUAAAAGUUGUUCGUGUAAAAUUUAGAAAAUAAACUAUAGCUCAUAAAACUUAGGGGGGGAGACUGUUUGUUUUUUUCAUAGAAAAAGCCAACCGACGCAUUUGUAAACGAAAAUAAUUUAUAAACAAAAUUUUUAUAUACGCAUUCAUAGCGAUCCAGAAGCCAAAACUAGAAAAUAAACUUCGGUGAGACCCAUAAAAUCAACUUUAAAUUUAAGGUUUAAAUUUUUAAAUUUUAACUUAUAAAUAUAAACAGAAGCGAAAAGACAAGCGCGCUAGUUUUUCUGAGAGGAUGAGUUCUCACCGAGAGUUUUGUGAAUCUUAGAGGUUGUUUAGAUGGGGUUAAACUUUUUAACCCUAUGUCACAUCGGAUGUUUAGACACUAAUUUUAAGUAUUAAACAUAGACUAAUAAAAAAUUAAUUUCAUAAAUGAGUGGUAAUCUGCGAGACGAAUUUUUUAAGCCUAAUUAAUCCAUAAUUAGAGAAUGUUUACUGUAGCACCAUAUAGGCUAAUCAUGGAUUAAUUAGGCUUAAUAGAUUCGUCUCGCGAAUUAGUCCAAGAUUAUAGAUGGAUUUUAUUAAUAAUUUACGUUUACUAUUUAUAAUAAACGUUCAAACAUUCGAUGAGACAAGUGACUAAAAAUAAAUCCCUCGUCCCAAAGACCACCUAGUCAUUUCUAAACAUGUUGGACUCUCUCUCUAUGCUAGCUACUCGUACAAGUGUUUUUACCUGCAGUAAAAAGUACACCUGAGCCGGGCAACCUACAUACACAGUAUGCUUUUUGAGCGUCACAUGAACUCCUAGGCUGCAGUCACCGGCUAACUUUGGAAAAUACGUCUCCAUCUUUUUGAGAGGAGCAGUACCCAAAUUCUGAUGCCAUUGCAUGCUUGUGAAACAGCCUAGUGGCUAGUGCAGUGUAUACUUGCUGCUAGCUGCAUCCUACUACCACAACUGUUGCUGUGCACUGCCACUGUUACUUGCCUUAUGAACAAGCAACACCCAUGACUUAGUUAAGCCUGAAUAAUUAUUGCUUUAAUUAAUGUCUGUCUAAGUAGAUUUAUGGCCCUGUUUGAGGAGUCUGAGAUACUCGUCAUUUUUUUUAAAAAAACGUCAUAUUUAUAAACGAAAAAUAUUUAUGAAUAAACCUUUUAUAUAUGUAUUCUUAUUAAUUUAAAAGCAAAAACUAAAAAAAAUAAAUUAUGAUGAAAAAAUUCCUAAAAUCAAUUCUAAAUUUAAGAUCGAAAAUUCAAAUGUUGAUUUAUAAGUAUAAACAAAAGUGAAAAGUGAAAAGAUAAAAAACCCAUUAUAAGAAGCAGGGGUAGGUAUUUAGCCAAUGAGAAUUUGGAAAAACCGAUUAUCUACAGCUUUCGACUACUCUUAGAGUUCAUUUUUGGAUUAUGUAGCUACUAAUUUUUAAGAUCCACUCUCUCGGUAGUUUAACAUAUAUUAAUGUUUGAAAAGAAAAUAUUAUAUUAUUAGAAGCGGACGAGUGUUUGCAGUAUUAUAGAGAGAAAUUUGAAUGACAUAAGAUUGAUGAGACAUGUAUCAUUCUAAGGGGUUGUUUAGAUGGGGCUAAACAUUCAAUGUGACUAGAGACUAAAAAUAAGUCCCUGAAAAUAAACACUCCCUAAAAAGAUAAGGGUCUAUUCGUUUUUAAUGAAAAACAAAUGAGAUCCAAUUUCUAAGAAUUAAAUUCCUUUAAAAACCAUUCGGUUUGUAGGAAAGCACCAUAGAAAAAUCAAAGAAAAUUUUCCCUUUCUAAGAGAAAAUCAAAGGAAAUUUCCAUCCACUCAAAUCUCUUGGAAAAAAUUAUUAUGGAUUGGUGUUGCCAUGUAUCCCUAUUCCUCCACUUUUUCUAUUCCUUUGGAUUGAAAUUUCUCCAAACCAAAUAAGCCCUAAGUGUUUUGUACCGAGUAUAGUAGAUGAUAAUUAUGUCCUGUUUAGUUCCUAAAACAAAAAUUUUCACGAUGUCACAUAGAAUGUUUGGAUACAUGCAUGAAGUAUUAAAUGUAGGUAGAAAAAGCUAUUACAUAAAUUGUGUUUAAAUUUUGAGAUGGACCUUUUUAACCCUAAUUACGUCAUGAUUUGACAAUGUGGUGCUACAGUAAAUAUUUGCUAAUGAUAGAUUAGUUUGGCUUAAUAAAUUCAUCUCACAGUUUUUUUUGGAAUUUGUAAUUUCCUAUAUCAUUAGACUAUAUUUAAUACUUUAAAUUUUUAUCCGUAUCUCCUAUGUGACACAUUCAAUUUUUUUCCUAACUCAACAGGGCCUUAGGCUUCGAAGGAAAGAAAUCGUAGCAGGAGCUCCUCAAAUAGGGGCAUAACUGGAAAGAUGGAUCUGAUGUGUACAUUUGCUUGCUUAAUUGAGCUGCAUUAAUUUCCAUGCACAGAAAAUCCUUGGACUUCCCUAGGUUCUCCCUCUCAUCAGGUCAUUCGGAAACUCAUCAUUCUGUGAUGUACUUCCACCUCAAGAGAAAGAAUUUGGGUUUAUUUAAUGCUCCAUCUUUCAUGAACAAAUGACAGAGAAAUAUAAAAAAUUAGUUAAGCUUGUACUGCAGCAAGAGAUCAGCUGUGGGUCUUCCAAAACCAAGCAGCUCUGAAAAUAAUUCCAUGGACACAAACUGGUCUAUGACAAGAUAGAUUUCUACUAUUUUUGAAUUACGACCAUCCAUGAUAUGCAUGGGGCCCAAGGUGACUCAUCAAGAGAAAGAGAAGUAUGCAGAAAAAAUAAAAUAAAAUCACAUAGCAAUGGGAGUGGAGAAAAAAAAAAGGAGUAUUGGCAUAUGCAUGAAUGUGCAUUAUGGUUGAUGUGUACAUGUAUGAUAUACCAUAUCAUAUGUAUUGUUGCUAUCAUAUACUACAUGCAGUGCAGGCCCUGGAAUUUAUAAAACAAAUGUGAUAAAAUUGGAAUCUACCUGUCUAAUUGUUCAUCCAUUGAUACAUAUAUCUCUGGUGUACCAACCAAGUAGGUGUACAGGUUAGAUCAAAAAAUUAAAGAAAAGGCAAGAAAUUCAGGGAGGGUAUCUGCACUUGUAAGGAGACAAGGGAAAAGACAGAAAGCUCAACAUCAGUGUAGCAUUGCUAGGGGUGUGUGUGUGUUGUGAUUGAGGUACACACACAGUUGCUCCUCAUCUCUACUCCUCACUGUACUUCUGUAUAGUCUAUGCUCCUCACAAUUCUACUACCCCAGUACUAGAGCUACUGAUUGAAUUCAUCUACUUACCACUGUUCUUGCCUCACGCAGAUGCAGCUUCCUUGAGAAUGCAUCAACAGUCACACACUGUAAUAUGCAUACCUACCCACACUAGUCAUGCAUUCCCAAGAUUGGAUCUUUUUUUUAUUUUUUGAAAGAUCAAUUCAAGAUUGACAUGAACAAUCAACCCCUCCCUUGUUGACCAAAAUUAACCAGUGAAACACACAUGUAGCUAGGCUACCACUGUAAUUGCUGAAAUGAAAGGGGAAAAAGGGGUUCAAUUUUUGUUUCUUCUGAAACGGCAAGCAAAAGCCUGAACUGCUCUUGGGGAUCCUUUUAAUCUUUUUAGCUGGCUCAUCUUGAAAGUAAAAGUAAGUAAGCUGCAGCAGCAGCCAGCUGCAGGGUAUGCAGGCAGGAGGAGGAGAAGAUAAAGAAGAGGGAUUUGGUUUUUGGUGCCCCUUCCUUCUUCCAUUUUGUUCAGAAACGCCACUGGUUGGAGCUGGACCUUCUUCCUUCCCCUUCCUCUCCUCCUCCUGUGGCAAGCUAGCAGCUGCCAAGCAAACACAGUGUUCAGUUCUCCUUUUAAUUUCUCUCUCUCUCAUGGCAGCUGAUGCUUCUGCUGCAUGUAUGAGUAGCUGCUAGCUGCCUGCUUGGUUCUCUUUUGCUUGAGCUAGCCUGUGUGUGCACUGCUGCAAAGCCAACUCUCCUCUCCUUGUUGUGUUCUACACUUGUGCAGCUGCUGAGUGUAGAGAGAGAGAGGAGGAAGAGAAAGAAGAAAGAAAGAAAGAAUCUAAAAUUGCUUUCUUUGCAGUCAUUGACCACACCCAGUUUCAGUUUCCUCCUUGUUUGUCCCCUCCUUAAUACCCUGUCUUGUUGUUUGUUCCUCAUCAUAUUCUCUCUUCCUCCUCAUACAUGCCCUCUUGUCUCCUCCAUUCUUCACUUAAUGCAUCCUCUCUCUCUCUCUUCCCCAAUUUAUUGCUCUCCCUGAUCUGUAGUUUCAUGGUGGUGUGCUGAGAGCUGCAUCGAGGAGGCAAGUAAAGAUCGAAGCUUUGCGUCGAUUGGUGGCGUGCUCCUCCAUCCACCUAUGUUUCAUCACCAUCUACAGCAGCAGCAGCAGUUCUUGUUGGACGAGGCGGACGCGGACGCGGCGUCGGCAGAUCAGCAGGAGAGCAGCAUGUCCAACCUCACCUCCUCCGCCUCCGCCGCCGCGCCGCCUCCGUCCUCCGGCGGCGGCGGCAACAACAACAAGAGGAAGCGGAGCCUCCCCGGGAACCCAGGUGCGUUGCGUGUGUCGUCGUCUUCUUGAUCUCUUGCAAAGGCGGCCGAGGCCGAGAGCGAUUGGUUUGAUCGGUGGGGGCGGUGCAUGCCAUGGCAGACCCCGAGGCGGAGGUGGUGGCGCUGUCGCCGGCGACGCUGAUGGCGACGAACCGGUUCGUGUGCGAGAUCUGCGGCAAGGGGUUCCAGCGCGACCAGAACCUGCAGCUGCACCGGCGAGGGCACAACCUGCCGUGGAAGCUGAAGCAGCGCGGGAGCAAGGAGGCCGUGAGGAAGAAGGUGUACAUCUGCCCCGAGGCGUCGUGCGUCCACCACGACCCCUCCCGCGCCCUCGGCGACCUCACCGGCAUCAAGAAGCACUUCUUCCGCAAGCACGGCGAGAAGAAGUGGAAGUGCGACAAGUGCUCCAAGAAGUACGCCGUCCACUCCGACUGGAAGGCCCACUCCAAGGUCUGCGGCACCCGCGAGUACAAGUGCGACUGCGGCACCAUCUUCUCCAGGUCCAUCUUCCUUCCAUCCCCCAUAUCCAUGGCGUUGAGGAAGAAGGUGUACAUCUGCCCCGAGGCGUCGUGCGUCCACCACCUUCUUCUUCUUCUUCUUCUUCCAGUUGCACUCUUCCCUCCUCCUCCUGCCUGCCAUGCAUGCCGGUCAACGAUGAUCCAAUCGCUUGUGUUGUGUUGCCUCGCCUCGCUUCUUUCUCGUCGCCGGUAGUGAUCGACCGGGGUGACUAGUGGAGUGUGUUUCUUUCUGCGCAUUCAGCUGGCACAGUACUGGAGAGUUGCAUUGCGAGGAGGAUUAAUUAGGAACUGAACCACCCUAUCAGAGGAGUGUUCGUUCGUGCGUUUGCACCUAUAAACCCCAAUUAUUAGGGCACCUGGGGUUGAUUAACCAACAACCAUGAAACCAUGUGCCACUGCCACUCUGCGUCGUCGAGCAUCUAGCUAGCUCGCUCGCUCGCUCAAGGAUUUCUCAACAGUGGCAGUAGUACUACACGUACGUAGCUAAGUGCUAACUACUCCAGCUGCUCGAUCGCUCGUAGAAAGAUCGGUGCUGGGACGCAACAACCCGAUCGAUCGAUCGAUCGAGGGAGGGAGGAAAGAGAGAUCGCAAUGUGUAUGGAAAGAGACGGGCCCCGCUUUUUGGAGUCGUUUCGCCUCUUCUUUUUGUUUCCUGGUUAGCUUCUGCCAUGGAUGGGGUGGAUGAGCUUGGAUUGAUCCGAGGUGCGCUGGUGAGCGCGUGUGCACGGUGCAGAACCCAAUGGAGACGACGACGAGCUAGGGCGUGCUUGAUAGCACUAGUAGGUUGGUGGUGGCACUACGCUAGCUUGAGCGUAUGCGCGUGUCCGUUUGUGCUGCAUCCCGUGUGAGCGAGUGAGUGUGAUGAGAGGGAAGCAAACAAACACGGAUGGAUGGAUGGAUAUGGCCACAGGACAAUGGAUGAAAGGAGGGGAGAUCUGAGCUUGAUGGUGAUGAUCAGUAAAGAUUCAGACAUGUGAAUCUCUCUUUGCAGUCUGCAUCUCUGCAUCAUCUUGCAUGGAUGGAUGCCUUUCCAUCUCUCUCUCUAUCUUUCUUCCAGGCUCAGCUAGCUGCUGCCACUCCUGCCUAAUUGCCUAGGAGUGCACUCUCCGUGUUGUCACCUCCAUGAGUCCUUCUCCAUCCUGAUUCCAUUCAAGGAGUAGCUAGUAGCUAGCUUGGUGUAUCUCUCUCUAGCAUAUGGCAGCUAGGAGGAGGAGGAGAUGGAAGAAGCGACGAUGACAAGUGAGCAAAGAAUACGGGGGAAAGAUGAUAUCUUUAGCUUUUGAACUUUUGAAAAAUUUUCGCUUUUGCUUUUGGAUUUCUGAGCUCGUGGUGAUCCGUGUGGUUCUUGCAUUGCAUUGCAUCGCAUCGCAUGCAGGCGUGACAGCUUCAUCACGCACCGGGCGUUCUGCGACGCGCUGACGGAGGAGAGCGCCAAGGCCAUCGGCGGCGGCCUGCCCCCCCCCCCGGCCCCCCCCGCGGGGNNNNNNNNNNNNNNNNNNNNNNNNNNNNNNNNNNNNNNNNNNNNNNNNNNNNNNNNNNNNNNNNNNNNNNNNNNNNNNNNNNNNNNNNNNNNNNNNNNNNNNNNNNNNNNNNNNNNNNNNNNNNNNNNNNNNNNNNNNNNNNNNNNNNNNNNNNNNNNNNNNNNNNNNNNNNNNNNNNNNNNNNNNNNNNNNNNNNNNNNNNNNNNNNNNNNNNNNNNNNNNNNNNNNNNNNNNNNNNNNNNNNNNNNNNNNNNNNNNNNNNNNNNNNNNNNNNNNNNNNNNNNNNNNNNNNNNNNNNNNNNNNNNNNNNNNNNNNNNNNNNNNNNNNNNNNNNNNNNNNNNNNNNNNNNNNNNNNNNNNNNNNNNNNNNNNNNNNNNNNNNNNNNNNNNNNNNNNNNNNNNNNNNNNNNNNNNNNNNNNNNNNNNNNNNNNNNNNNNNNNNNNNNNNNNNNNNNNNNNNNNNNCGGCAACGGCCUCGUACCGGCCGGAGUGAUGGGCCAGCUGGCAAGAACCGCCUCCCACGGCCGGAGCGGCGAGGACGUCGGCGGGGGAGGAGGAGGCGGAGGCACCGGCACCGGCGCCGGCGGUGGCAGCGACGGCAUGACGAGGGACUUCCUGGGGCUCCGUGCCUUCUCCCACCGCGACAUCCUCCUCGCCGGCUUCGACUCGUCGUGCAUGGGCCACGUGAACGCCGCCACCAACGCCGGCAUGGCCUGCUACGAGCCACCGCAGCAUGGACAGCCCCAGAACCAGCACCAGCAGCAACACCAAAGCAGCAGCAACGAGCCAUGGCAUGGCAUGGGUAGCCAUAGCUAGCUACUUUAGCCAUAGCCCAUAGCCAAACCUUUCUUCUUCCUCUCGUCAGCCAGCCAGCCAGGCCAUCACACAUUCGCACCUGCCACUGCCAUUGCCUUGCAUCUCCAUCACUGUGCAGAGAGAGCGCCAUAGCUUAGCUAGGGUCAGGCCACUCACUGCUUGCUACCACUCUAGUGCAAGAUGCCUUUUUGAGAAGGGUAGGCAAUGGCAGUGGCAGGGGCGCUCUCUCUCUCUCUCUCUCAUAUUUCUCCUCUCUCUUGUUCUUCAAACUUAAUUUUGUUUAUCAUAUAAUAUCUCAUGAUCUUGGAAGCUAAGCUAAGCACAAUUAAGCAGCCAUGGUGAAGCUAGGCUUGGAUGGAUGGAUGGAUACUGCAAAGCACUCAGUCAGGGGAGUUUGUAAUUUUUUGUUCUUUUGGUAGGAGGAGAGAACUGUAAGCUAAGCACGGAUCAAGUGAAGGAAAACUAAAGCUAUGUGACAAUCGAUAAUAAUACAUGCACCCAUCACCUAUUUUUUUUUUGUAUAAUCUGUUUAAUCUGCUGUCAUUUUUCACUUGCACUCAGAUCAAAACUUACAAUUAUGAUUCUCAUCUGCAUUCCA